rnacentral:lncRNA from 1 species
UUUAAUGUGGUUUGGUUUUAUUACUCAGCGAUUAGAAAGAAUAAACAUCACCUGUUCUUGAGGGCACCAACUAGUCACCAUGCCUCUCCCUUUUGUCUCGUCAACAAACUCUGGUGGCAUCAUGGCCUCAUUGCCUCCGACAAUGUCGGGCCUUGUAAUCCACAAGAAAUCUUUCUUGCUAUUCGCCAGUCCCCACCCAAACUCGAUGAGUUGUUCUUUUGUCAUGACUGUAAUGCUUCCAAAGUUAACGUAAACAACUGAGCCAGGGUCUUUUGUGUCAAGCCAACUGAUGCAACUCUCAUCUUCCUUCCAGAGGUUGGACCCAAUGUGUUUGACCUGAUCAUUUUCAAUAUGUUGUUGCAUCAAGUGUAGUGGGCCUAUGGUGAAGGUUCUUGGAUUUAAGACAAUUAAAGGGUUAAGGCUAUCUUGUUCUAAGGCGUCGAAAGUGUUAAGCACGACAGUCGAGCCUCUAGGGAUAGCUGCAGCCUCAGUUAUGAAAUAGUUCAACAUGGUGUCAUUUAUGUCUGUGGUUCGAAUGAAACUGGGGAAAUCCUUUAAUUGGUAAUUGGAUGCUAUUCAUUCCAGGGAUCCAAUCUAAGCUUGUCUCCAAAUACCCAUUUGUUACCUCGCUCAUAUCUGUAUCAUUUCAAUAGUUACUUUUCAUGAGUAUCUAUAUGUACGUAGAAAGGUAAAACUAAAUUUAUUUGUCGGAAAAUAAAUAACUUUUAUACAAACUUAAUAAAAUGGUAACGGUGUAUAUAAAGAGAUUAGAAAAAUGCACAUAUGCAAAAAAAAAAAAAAAAAAAGUGUUUAUUAUCGUUUUUAUAAAAUCUAUUGACAACAUAUAUAUAUAUAUNNNNNNNNNNNNNNNNNNNNNNNNNNNNNNNNNNNNNNNNNNNNNNNNNNNNNNNNNNNNNNNNNNNNNNNNNNNNNNNNNNNNNNNNNNNNNNNNNNNNNNNNNNNNNNNNNNNNNNNNNNNNNNNNNNNNNNNNNNNNNNNNNNNNNNNNNNNNNNNNNNNNNNNNNNNNNNNNNNNNNNNNNNNNNNNNNNNNNNNNNNNNNNNNNNNNNNNNNNNNNNNNNNNNNNNNNNNNNNNNNNNNNNNNNNNNNNNNNNNNNNNNNNNNNNNNNNNNNNNNNNNNNNNNNNNNNNNNNNNNNNNNNNNNNNNNNNNNNNNNNNNNNNNNNNNNNNNNNNNNNNNNNNNNNNNNNNNNNNNNNNNNNNNNNNNNNNNNNNNNNNNNNNNNNNNNNNNNNNNNNNNNNNNNNNNNNNNNNNNNNNNNNNNNNNNNNNNNNNNNNNNNNNNNNNNNNNNNNNNNNNNNNNNNNNNNNNNNNNNNNNNNNNNNNNNNNNNNNNNNNNNNNNNNNNNNNNNNNNNNNNNNNNNNNNNNNNNNNNNNNNNNNNNNNNNNNNNNNNNNNNNNNNNNNNNNNNNNNNNNNNNNNNNNNNNNNNNNNNNNNNNNNNNNNNNNNNNNNNNNNNNNNNNNNNNNNNNNNNNNNNNNNNNNNNNNNNNNNNNNNNNNNNNNNNNNNNNNNNNNNNNNNNNNNNNNNNNNNNNNNNNNNNNNNNNNNNNNNNNNNNNNNNNNNNNNNNNNNNNNNNNNNNNNNNNNNNNNNNNNNNNNNNNNNNNNNNNNNNNNNNNNNNNNNNNNNNNNNNNNNNNNNNNNNNNNNNNNNNNNNNNNNNNNNNNNNNNNNNNNNNNNNNNNNNNNNNNNNNNNNNNNNNNNNNNNNNNNNNNNNNNNNNNNNNNNNNNNNNNNNNNNNNNNNNNNNNNNNNNNNNNNNNNNNNNNNNNNNNNNNNNNNNNNNNNNNNNNNNNNNNNNNNNNNNNNNNNNNNNNNNNNNNNNNNNNNNNNNNNNNNNNNNNNNNNNNNNNNNNGGUGGCGGUUGUGGUGGUGUAGAUGUGGCGGAAGAGAAAGAAACAGGCAAAGCUAUAUAACUUUCAUGAUUAUAACAAGUUUGUCAUGCUGGUAUACUACCGAUGGUUAGAGUGGUUGAUGUGAAAUAUAAGAGUGAGGUUGAAUUCAAAGAUUUUUAUUUUUUUUAAUGUCCACGAAACCUAUANAGAUUUUAAGUCUCGUCUAGAACAUAUAUAAUAUUAAUAAUAGUUUAGUAAGAGUAUAAUAGAUAUAUUGUUCCAAAAAAAAUAAUAGAAAAUAACAAAAAUAACAAAACAAAUUAAAAAAUAAAUAUAUAUAAAAACACCACAAAUAAAACAAACGACAUCGCUAUAUAUGCAUUAUGUAGGUUGUCUCCUUUGAUAAAGUUAUGCAUAUCUCGUCUAGAACAUAUAUAAUAUUAAUAAUAGUUUAGUAAGAGUAUAAUAGAUAUAUUGUUCCAAAAAAAAUAAUAGAAAAUAACAAAAAUAACAAAACAAAUUAAAAAAUAAAUAUAUAUAAAAACACCACAAAUAAAACAAACGACAUCGCUAUAUAUGCAUUAUGUAGGUUGUCUCCUUUGAUAAAGUUAUGCAUAUUUGAUUGGAUAUCCUAUCCGAAAGUAGGACUUUAGAUCAUUAGGAAUACUCUCCUCGACAACUGUCGUGGAGAGAUUCGAGAUCAGCCACCAAAACGCACGAACCCACUUCGGAAUGCAUAUAACGACCGGAAGAGAAGAACUAAGAGAGAGAGAAGACAGUCGCCUGAGAGUGAAGAAGAAACGGAUUGGUCGUCUGCCUCCGUGCUCGCCACCACAAAUCAUCACGACCACGAGCCACCACGGACCGGUGGGAUAGUGUUGACGGUUGUUGCAGAUAUAGAGGACGGGCUUAGAUAUAAUAAAACCGUACUAAUGAUCAAAUAGAAAAAGUUAUAUUACAAAAUAAUAAAAUAAUAUCAUUGUUAAAGAUAAAACAAAAUUCAAACAUUUCACUGGAAAAGGCCAACGAUCAAAGUGUCAUAAAUAUGGUUUUGGCAAGAUGGAACUCCAGAAAGCAAGAAUAAGAACAGUAAUUUCACCUUUGAGGGGAGUAUAACCCCUUUCAACAAGAUCAUGAUGGUGAGUGUAAGCCAAAACUCCGCAGGCACUCGGCGUCCAGAAUAAUACUUCUGGCAACCCAAACUUUUGGGCAGCUUUAAGCGUAAAGCUCAUGCAACCAUCGGAUAUUAUACAGGUCGGAGGUGGCACGUCAGACUCCUCGCCACCUUUAAGCCUACUGAUCAGCUCACAGAAAGGUUCGAAACUUUGCUUAGGAACAGAUUCACAGAGGGCCGGGAUGGACUGGGUGGCUUCCACAUCAGAGGGUGGAAGACCAUCGGGGAUGGAGUAGAAACGAAAAUCGGGCAGACCAUCAAGGGAGGAAGAACCUCGGGAUCUGAGCAGGCGCUUAUGGUUGUAGUGGGUGUUGACGAAGGAAAUAUGGAAGCCCUUAAAGUGAAGGAGCUUCGCAAGUUUCAUCAUAGGGUUGAUGUGGCCUUGUGCUGGAUAGGGGAUGCAUAUGGCAUGUGGCUUCUCCAUUUCUGCUAUGGAACCAAUCUGCUGCAGUAUUUAUUUAUGUGUCUUGAGGGAGAAAGCAAACUAGUGGUGGUAGUAUUUAGCAUGUUUCAUUUUAUCGAAAAUUUCUUAUAAUUAUUUGUAGAAUAACUUAUAGUUUUAGUCCCCGUGGUUUAUAUCAAUGUACAUUUUUUAAUUUUUAACAUUUCUUGUUCAUGUGGUUUGCAAAAGUUGCAUGUGUGGUCCUAAAAACUAAUUCCAUGAAAUCUUAUCAGAUAAAUGUAUAUAAAAUUAAAAUUAUACCCCUCAUUCUUUUCCUCAAUUUUUUUUGCAAUAUUUUGAUGAUUUAGGGCCAAUUUUGCAAAUUAGUGGAAAGAACACAUAGAACACACACACACACACACACUCUCUCUCUCUCUCUCUCUCUCUCUCUAUAUAUAUAUAUAUAUAUAUAUAUAUAUAUUGUGUGGAUGUAGGAAUGAAUGUAGACCAAGAGUUUAAAAAUAAAUAUUCCAAUAGAAUACAUAUUUUGAUAACAUACAAAUUCUGACAAAAUAAAUAUUUUGAUUGAAUGAACAUUUUGAAGAAUAACAAAAUUUGAACCAUGAGUUGAAGAAUAACAACAUUCUGAAAGAAUAAUCAUCUAUUAUUGACAUUAUUGAAGAAUCUAAUGUCCAAAAAUAAACAAAAAACAAUUUUUACUGUCACAUUCUAUAAUAAUACAAUGUUAUUUUUUGAGUUUUUGUCACAUUAUAUUAGAAUACGAACUUUAUAGUGAAUCAUUCUUGAAAAAAAUCUUCAUUGUAUAAGAAUACAAUAUCAUUAAUGAAAGAAUCUUCAUUUUCAUUCUUGUUUCAUUUCAAAAUGUUUAUUCUCAUUCAGGGUCACUCUCUUUUAGGGAUUUGAACUUUGAUGGUGGUUGUUAUUGGGGUUGUUUUUGGUAGAAAGUGGUUGGUGCAGUGUUAAGGUGAUGUUGGUCUUAGUGAUAGUGAUGAUUCAUGCCUAGUUUUCAACUGGCAUAUGGAUGGUUGUAUUGCAUGGGCUUGGUGCUGGUGAUUGGUUAUAAGUCGAGAUGAUAGUGGUCGACAUGUUGGUGGCGAUAAGUGACAUGGUGAUGAGUGAUGGGAAAUGCGGUGCUUGUUGCAAAAGAUAGUGGAGGGUGAUAUGGUGUUGAUUGGUGAUGGUAGUGGUUGUUGAAUUAGUAGUGAUUGGUGUGAUUAAUGAUGGUGGUGGUUAUUCUUGAUAGUGGUGGUGAUUGGUGAUGAUGGUUGUUGAUAGUGGUGGUGGUUGACUAGGUUAGUGGCUGAUGGUGGUUAGGCUAAAGGGUGUCCUAAACUUUUUACCAAUUGUCAUAACCACUUGGUUAGCAAUGCCAAAUUUAGUGAUCGAAUAGAGCCAAUACCCAAACCCCCAACCAAUUUUGGAGCUAUAACCUUUUCCCAGGCCACCCAUUUUAUGUUAUUUUUGCAAAUAGGUCCUCCCCAAAUGAACUGUCUACAAAUUUUCUCUAACUACCUUAUGACUCCAUUCGGGGCUCCAAAGAUGGAUAUGAAAAGUGUGUGUAGGCUUCCCAGUAUCGUUUUAGCAAGUGUGAUUCUUUCACGGAAAUUGAAGAUUUUGGCCUUCCAAGUUGAAAGUUUUGACCUCAAUUUAUCCAUAAUGGUGUUCGACGAGACCUUUCGAUUCAUAUUUAAUCCUACCGGGACGCCAAGGUAGGUGAAGGGAAGCACUGCAGGUUCACAACCAAGAGAAGAUGCCCAAUUAACGACCUCUUAGGACGGGACCCCAAUACCAUAAACUUUGGAGUUGGAGAAAUUGACCUUUAAACCAGAUGAUACAUAAAAGCAUCUAAGGAUUCUGACAAGAUUUGCAACAUUCCAGUGUGACCAAUCCCCCAAAAAUAAAGCAUCAUCUGCAUACAAGAGGUAAGAUAGGCAUACAUUAGUAUUAGGGAUAUGGAUACCAUCAAAUAUACCUUUAUAUGUCGCAUAUUUCAAUGCCUCCAUCGCUAUGAUAAACAAUAAGGGAGAUAGAAGAUCUCCUUAUCCCGCGCCCUUUGUCAUUGAGAAUUCGGCAGUAGGGCUCCCGUUAAUAAUGAUAGAAGCCCUAGACGAUUCUAGACAACCUCGAAUCCACAAUCUCCAUUCACAACCAAAGUUCAUUUGAGUCAUUAUGGACUCUAGGUAUCCCCAGUUGAUUGAAUCGAGAGCCUUGUUAAGACCUGACUUGAAUAAUAAUAUUUUUCUUCCAUUUGACUUAGCCCAAGAGCAAAUUUCAUUUACUAUUAAGGGUCCCUCUAAUAUGUUUCUUCCCUCCACGAAGGCAUAUUGAACUUCAUCAAUCACACUGUUAAUCACCUUUUUAAUAUGCAGGGCAAGAAUUUUUGUGAUGAUUUUGUACAUCGAACCAAUCAGGCUAAUUGGUCGAUAAUCAUCAAGCAGAAGCGGGUCCUUUAUCAUUGCUGCCAACGUGAUGAAGGAGGCAUUGCAUCCUCUUGAGAAUUUACCCCAUCUUUCAAAAUGUUUCACCGCACCUAAUACAUCACCUUUAAUGAUCACCAAAUAUUUUUCUUAAAGAAUUUGUUUUUACUCUCUUUGAAGGUUUUUUGUAGUCUAGAUUGGUCAACUUCUUAUUUGCUGUUGAAAAGAAUAAAUAAAGUUACAAACUUAAACAUUAAUUUGUUAAAUAUGUUAAUAGGUUAAUUAAUAAACAAUAUAUGUGUAUGUAUUUUGUGUACGUAUAUUGCAGGUAAAAGGACACGCGGGUCAAGUGGGUCAAGUGAUAUAUGGGUUAUACCCAAUGUUUAAUGGGUUGUGAUAUAAGGAGUGUUAGGUGGUCUUGAUAAACUCUAACGAAGAUAUUUCACUGAUCUUAUCUCUCAGUUUUCUCUAUCAUCUAAAGUUAGGGUUUGUUCAUCGUUGUCUUACAAGAUCUAUAAUAUGAGAGUAUGAGUGAUUUGUAGUGAGGUUUGAGUUGUAAUCUGUUGAUGUAAACCAUCUGUUUCAUAGUGAAUGAAAUGAUGAUGUUGGGAAGAUCUUGUGUUGAUUACAUUUCUUUACAUGGUAUCAGAGCUAUGGCUCCUUCGGUGUUCUUGUGAUGUUCGUUGGUUUGCGAUUGUUCGACUCACGAUCGUCCUGGUAAUUUCUUAAACCUGUUCAUUAUUUGUUUACAAUCACUUUCUUGACUGACACAGUUGUUGUGUAUCAUGAGUUUGUAUGAACUCUGAUCUUCGAUUUUAUCAACUGUGUCACUUUUCUGAUGUUCAGUUGAUUUAGGGUUUUCAUUAGAAAAUCCAAUCGAACAUCUGUUCUUUUUUGUUUGUAUCUGGUACUGCGAGAUUGUUGUGAUCUUGUAGGUUUCUUCUGUGACGAUCAAAUCAAGUUUGUCUACAAGACUCAUUGUGAACAAAGAUUAAGCCAAAUCGAUUAAUCUCUGAGUCUGAAAUAACUCACUAGGGGUCAGAGUUCAUCGCUGAUAAACCCUAGUUGAGAACGGACAAAGAGAGUCGAUCUCUGCACUUGACUCAUCAUAAAAAGCUUUGUGAGCAAUCUCUUAUUCUUGUUCUUUGUCUUACAUGUUUGUUUGUAAAGAUCCUGGCAAUCUGUUUUGUGUUGAUUGUAUUUUAUUUCUUGUAUAUCUGCUUGUUUCUUCUUCUGUUCUGACUGUCUUGGGCCCCGAUAUACGUGGUGACCAUCUGGACAUAAGAUCAGUUCAGGGGAAGUUUUCUUGAGUCUCCUUUCUUGAGUUUUCAAUAUUUCUUGAGUUUUAUUCUCAUUUACUUCUAUGGCGGGUGAGACAACUGAUCCACCCAGUGGAAGUGGGAAGGAUGAUCUGAUUAAUUUUGAUGAUCCUCUCUAUAUUCACCCUUCUGAUAAUGCUGUUACCUCUAUAAUUACAAUCAAGUUGACUGGUAAUGAAAACUUUAGGUUAUGGAGAAGUUCAAUUUCUAGAGCUCUUAAAGCUAGGAAUAAGUUAGGCUUUGUUGAUGGUACUUGUAAAAAAAAGCAGUGUCGAUGAGUCAAAGAAAACUAAAUGGGAUAGAGCUAAUGUUGUUGUUUGUUCUUGGUUGUUGUCUUCUAUAUCUGACUCAAUCUAUCAGAGUCAAGCCUAUUCUGAAGUAGCAGAAGAUAUUUGGGAAAAUCUUUUUGAAACAUACAAUAAAUCUGAUGGAUCUGUUGUUUUUAAUAUACAUCAACAAAUUAAUUUUCUUAAACAAAAUGGUACUUCUCUGUCUGAUUACUUCAAUAAGCUUGAUUCUUUAUGGAAAGAAUUUGAUGGUCUUACUAGUUUAACAGAGUGUACCUGUGAUGCUUCUAUUAAACUAAAGGAUCAUUCAAAUCUCAUGAAGCUAAUGCAAUUUUUAUCUGGACUUGAUGAUUCAUAUAGUCAAGUCAAAAGUCACAUUUUGUUAAUGGAUCCCUUACCUAAUGUGAAAACUGCUUUCUCUAUUGUGUCUAGAGAAGAAUCACUUCAAAGAAAUGGUUCUUUGACUUCUCUUCAAGCUUCUCAGUCUAUAAAUAAGUCUCAGACAUCUGCUUUUAACAGCAAGUUUAAUAACAAGACUAAUGUGAAUAAAAAUAAGGGUCAAACUGUUCAAUGUAAGAAUUGUGGUAUUAAGGGUCAUACCAUUGAGAAGUGCUAUAAAAUAAUUGGGUACCCUAAGGAUUUUAGGUCAAGAAGUGAAACUAAUAAUCAGAAUAACUUUGUUAAAAACUUUUCUGCUAAUUCUACUACCACUUCUUCUGGAAGUGCUAGUACUAAUAAUUUUUCUGGUGAUUCUGAGUUUCAUUACCUUACUAAGGAUCAGUAUUUCAAACUUUUACAACUUAUUGGUGAUAAGCAAGUGAAUGAAGAAGCUUCUGUUAGUGCUAAUAUGGCAGGUACUUGUUAUUUUCAAGCUUUUAAUUCUUCUGUCUGUAAUCAAAGAUGGAUAGUUGACUCAGGGGCUAAUCAACAUAUGACUGCCUCUGAGUCACUGCUCCAUGACACUGUGGAUGUGUCAAAUUUGGAUCUGCUGGUGUGUCAUCCCAAUGGUACAUCAGCUAAAAUUAAAAAAAUUGGUAACAUGAAUUUAUCUAAUUCUUUAACACUGUUUGAUGUUUUUGCUGUUCCUGAUUUCAAUGUUAAUUUGCUUUCUGUUCAUAAGGUUUGUAAAGAUAGUAAUUGUGAGGUUGUUUUUAAUGAGCAUAAUUGCAAAAUUCAGGAUUUACAAUCAAAGGUGAUGGUGGGGAGUGGUAGAGAGUCUGGAGGUCUCUAUUACAUUAAUAGUGCACCUUCAGGUAGUAUAUCUAAUUCUACUAUCUCUUCUUCUGUUUGUUGUGUGUCUAAGUUAACUUGGCACAAUAGACUUGGUCAUCCUUCUGAUCAAGUUUUAAGUUCUUUGAGACAUAAACUUAAGAUUGGAAGUGAAGUACUUCCACCUUGUGACAUUUGUCAUAAGGCUAAACAAACUAGAGAAUCCUUUCCUAUUAGUCAGCAUACUACUUCUAAACUUGGUGAGUUAGUUCAUUUGGAUGUUUGGGGUCCUUAUAAAGUGACAACUUCAGAAGGAUUUAGGUAUUUUUUGACUAUUGUGGAUGAUUUUACUAGGGCAACUUGGAUUUAUCUUCUAAAGUCUAAGGAUGAAGUUUAUGAUUCUGUUCUUGUUUUCUUUAAUAUUUUGAUUAAUCAAUUUAGUGUUAAAAUUAAAACUGUUAGAUCUGACAAUGGUACUGAGUUUUUGAACAACAAAAUGAGACAAUUAACUGAAUCAAAAGGAAUUUUGCAUCAAACAUCGUGUGUUCAUACUCCACAACAAAAUGGUGUUGUGGAGAGAAAACACAGGCACAUUUUAAAUGUUGCUAGGUCUUUAAUGUUUCAGUCUGGUUUGCCAAUUAAACAUUGGGGAGAUGCUAUAUUAACUUCAGUUUUUUUGAUUAAUAGAACACCUACUUCAGUUUUAAAUGGUUCUUCUCCCUAUGAAAUGGUUUAUAAUUCUGCACCUGUUUUUGAUAAACUUAGAGUAUUUGGAUGUUUGUGUUUUGCAUCUAAGCUGAAUAAUAAUGAUAAAUUUUCUGAAAGGGCUGAUAAGUGUGUUUUUCUUGGUUAUUCUUCUGAUAAAAAGGGUUACAAAGUUCUCAGUCUUGAUUCUAAUCUUAUCUUUGUUUCCAGGGAUGUAAAGUUUUAUGAGUCAGUGUUUCCUUUCAAGCUUAGAACUUCAUCCUUAACUGAUAGUUCAGUUGUCAAUGUAAAUUCAAAUGACCUAUUUUCCUAUGAUGAGUCUACAAAUUCUAGUUUUAUUCUAGAUAAUACUAGAACAGAUAACUUGAGAAGUAGCCAUCAGAUGGAUGGUGCUAAUGCAGACCAGGACCAGGAUGAGACUUUUCCCUCUAAUGUCAGCAACCGGACUGGUGAGGUAGAUGUGCCUCUAUCUGAUGAGUUGUUUCCAAGUUCUUCUGUAUUGACUGAGGAAACUGAUACAAUUAAUUCUAAUCCUUCUGAAAGCUUGUCUACUAGGAUCACUAGGUCUGGAAGGAAUGUUAACAUGCCAGUUAGAUUUAGUGAUUAUGUUAUAGAUGGUAAACAUAAAUAUGGUAUUGAAAGAACAGUAAACUAUUCAGCUCUUAAUACUGAGUCAUUCUGUUUUAUUUCUAAUCUUAAUAAAACAGUUGAACCUAAAACUUAUAGUGAAGCAGCUUUAGAUCCAAAUUGGAUCAAAGCUAUGAAUGAGGAAAUGGAAGCCCUUUAUAGGAAUAAUACUUGGGAAAUUACUAAUCUUCCUAAAGGAAGAAAAGCAAUUGGGUGUCGUUGGAUAUAUAAAAUUAAAUAUAAAUCUAAUGGUGAUAUAGAAAGAUAUAAAGCUAGGCUUGUGGCUAAAGGAUAUAAUCAGAGGGAAGGAAUAGACUAUGAGGAGACUUUUUCUCCUGUUGCAAAAAUUGUAACUGUUCGUGUGGUAAUAACAAUGGCAGUAAACAGUUCUUGGCCACUUUAUCAGUUAGAUAUUAAUAAUGCUUUUUUAUAUGGAAAUUUAUCUGAAAAUGUAUAUAUGUGUCAACCUGAGGGUUAUCAUUCUAAGGAUGAUAUAAGGGUUUGCAGGUUGUGUUAUCAUUCUAAGGGUGAUAUAAGGGUUUGCAGGUUGUUAAAGUCUCUUUAUGGACUUAAACAAGCCCCAAGGAAGUGGAAUCAAAGGUUGUCCUCUUCUCUCUCAAGUUUUGGUUUUAAGCAAAGUGUUAAUGAUUAUUCAUUAUUUGUUAGACAAUUUAAAAAUACUUUUAUAAUUCUACUGGUUUAUGUAGAUGAUAUCAUUCUAACAGGUAAUGAUGAGUCUGAGUUAAAUAAAGUUAAAAUGUUUCUUAAAUCACAGUUCUUAAUUAAAGAUUUAGGUGAAUUGAAAUAUUUUUUAGGUAUUGAAGUAUUGAGAACUGAAAAAGGUAUAUGUUUAAAUCAAAGGAAAUAUUGUAUGGAAUUGCUUCAUGAGUUUGGUAUGUUAGCAUGUAAACCAGUUAAAACUCCACUUGAACCAAAUUUGGUUGUCAAAAGAGAAUAUGAUUUGGAAGCAUCUGAUUAUUUAGUUAAUAUAACUGAAUAUCAAAAACUUAUUGGUAAAUUGAUUUAUUUGACUGUGACUAGACCUGAUAUAUCUUAUGCUGUGCAAAUAUUAAGUCAGUACAUGCAUAAGCCAUAUAAGUCUCAUGUUAAUAUUGCUUUCAGGUUGUUAAGAUACUUGAAAAACAGUCCUGGUAUGGGAAUUCAUAUAAUUAACUCUGGUAGUUUAGAUUUGAUUGGGUUUGUGGAUACAGAUUGGGCUAAAUGCUUGUUUAGUCGAAAAUCUGUAACAGGAUAUCUUGUAUAUCUAGGAGGAUCUCUGGUUUCUUGGAAGAGCAAGAAACAGAAUACUGUUUCUCGUUCAUCCACAGAAUCAGAAUAUAGGGCUUUAGGAAGUAUAACUUGUGAGGUAAUAUGGAUUUUAAAAUUACUUCAUGAUUUAGGUAUAAAAACUAAUUUACCUGUUGAUAUUUUUUGUGAUAAUGAAUCUGCAAUUAAGUUGGCUUUAAAUCCUGUAUUUCAUGAGAAGACAAAACAUUUUGAGAUUGAUCUUCAUUUUGUUAGGGAGAAAAUUGAAAAUGGAAUUUUAAAAGUUAAUAAAAUAAUGUCUUCAAAUCAAAAUGCAGAUAUUUUGACAAAAUCACUUGGUAGUGUUCAACAUGAAUAUAUUGUAAAUCGACUUAAUAUGAUUGAUAUUUUUAAGAAGAAUUAAAUUUUUUGUUAAAAUUAAUGUUUAGUUUGAGGGGGCAUGUUGAAAAGAAUAAAUAAAGUUACAAACUUAAACAUUAAUUUGUUAAAUAUGUUAAUAGGUUAAUUAAUAAACAAUAUAUGUGUAUGUAUUUUGUGUACGUAUAUUGCAGGUAAAAGGACACGCGGGUCAAGUGGGUCAAGUGAUAUAUGGGUUAUACCCAAUGUUUAAUGGGUUGUGAUAUAAGGAGUGUUAGGUGGUCUUGAUAAACUCUAACGAAGAUAUUUCACUGAUCUUAUCUAUCAGUUUUCUCUAUCAUCUAAAGUUAGGGUUUGUUCAUCGUUGUCUUACAAGAUCUGUAAUAUGAGAGUGAGUGAUUUGUAGUGAGGUUUGAGUUGUAAUCUGUUGAUGUAAACCAUCUGUUUCAUAGUGAAUGAAAUGAUGAUGUUGGGAAGAUCUUGUGUUGAUUACAUUUCUUUACAUUUGCCUUUUUAGGAGAAUUUACUUACCGUAUUUCACCGAUUUAACAAAUAUGACGUGGCUGUGUGUUGCCCAUGAGACUUUUUUUUAUAGGUUUAUAAUUUAAAAAAACAUAUUAAAAACAUAUUUACAUUAUAAGGUUUAUUAACUACCACCAAAUUCGACAUCCCUGCCCAACUUUCAAAUAAAGACGAGAGAAAAGCAUUACAAGAACAACGCAAAAAUAAUGAAAAAAACAAGUUUCCAAAUAGUGAAUACUUAAUAUUGCAGGAAAUUGACACAAUAUUUUUUAAAAAAAAAUCGAAAUUCGACAUCCCUGCCCAACUUUCAAAUAAAGACGAGAGAAAAGCAUUACAAGAACAACGCAAAAAUAAUGAAAAAAAACAAGUUUCCAAAUAGUGAAUACUUAAUAUUGCAGGAAAUUGACACUAUAUUUUAAAAAAAAAAUCGAUUUCAUAAUAAGUCCAAUACCAUAAGAAUGAUUCAAGCUUUUGAAAAUAAUAAUAAUAAUAAAAUACAAGGCAAUUGAUUUCAGAUCUUGAAAAAAAAAAUUCAACUCAAACCAACCAUUUCCUUUUCGAUGUGUUAUGGGUACUGAAACAAAAAAGAAAUAUGUGUGGUGAACUGCUAGGAUUGAGGUGUCCUGUAAUUAAUAGUGCACAUUUUUUUCGGUGAUGAACUAAUUUAACACAACCUCCAACGAUGUUAGGCAAUUACGAUUGAGAUAUAUUUUUCAUUCCGCUUUAAAUUAAAAACUACACCGUCCAUUCCUCUUUGUCCACCUACUACACCCACCGUGAAAGAUAUGCCGCCCAUCAUAACCGAUCCUACUAUAGUACUAUGGUCCACGACUAGGGCAACGUGUGGGUGGUAUUUUUCAUCAUGGUUUUGAUUUACACGACACAUCUCAUUACCCAUAUCUAAACGAUCAAGGUGUAUUGUAAAGCUUAAAAACGUGACUUUAUUUAAUAGGUUUUAAGAAAUCGCUACAAAAUUAACCCCUACGGCGAUGACAAUUUCUGACCUUACACCGACGACAAGUCGUCAUAAUAAGCUAAACAAACGACUUGUUGUCGGCAUAGGCUUGUCGGUAUAGGUCAUAGGUGUCGUCGGCAUAAGUGUCGUUCGUAUAGGUGUCGUCGACAUAGGUUCCCCUAUUCCGACGACAAGUAUUCAAUAUAACUUUCGUCGACGAUAUUUAAAAAAAAAAUAAAGUUUUAUUAAUUACCUGUGACGACGACAUGUCGUCGCGAUAGCCACUGGUUGUUUUUGUUGUUUUUUUUGUACAGAUUCUGUACAUUACUAUUACUGCAUUUUUAAAAUAUUCAAAAAACUUUGCAGAAUAAAUCAAUUGAGAUACAAUAGCUAGCUACCAUUGUUCAAAUUCAAAACAUCAAAUUGAAGUUUAUUAUUACAAUAAGUUGUUAACAUUGUUCAAAAUAAUAAAAAACAUCAACCAUCAUUAUUAUCAUCAUUAUCAUCAUCAUUUUUUUUAUUCUUCUUCCCGUUCUUCAUCCAUCAUAUCGACAAAUUGUUGAGAGGUACUUCCAUGUGUGUUAGAGUUGAAUAGAAAAUCAAGAAAUGGUGGUGGUUGAAAGUCAGGAAUAUAUGCCGCCAAUGAUGCAUUAUAUUGUUGCAAGUAUUCUUGCAUUUAUUGUGCAUCAAAUUGGGAUUGAGAUUAGGACGAUAUGGAAGUGGAAGGUUGUUCAUUUGGAAUUAAAACGAAGUUGGCGGUUGGUCUUCUACCCACUCCGCGAGCAUGCCUGCGUCUCGUCCCAAGGGCACAUUCUAAACAUUCUUCUUCAUUACUUCUACGCCUUCUCCGACCUCGCUUUGCAUUUUCUCAUACUCAUAUUGAAUUUUCUCUUAAAAUAAAGAAAUUAAUAAACAUAUGAUAAUUAAAGCAAACAACUAAAUUUAAACAUUAAAAUAAUAAUAUUAUACAUUAAACAAAAAAAACUAUAAUUAACAAUAACUAGAAAAGAUCCCCCGACGUUGACGGGGUUGGUAGGUAUUGCUUUGUAAAGUAAAAUAGUAUGUUGAAUUGCAUUGAGAUAAUCUAGUAAAGGAAGAUAAACAAUGUCAUAUAAUUACAUAAGUAAAGAAAUCUAAAUAAUUAUUUCUUGCAAUAAAUGAGGAAAAUAAAGAAAUUAUCUCACAAAUUGAACUUUAUUACCAUGUAUGGCAGCGGACGGAAACCAAUCCAGAAAAUAUAGACCGUUGUUUUUUUGUCCGUUAAUGUGAGGAUAAUUUGGUCUUUUAAGGUAGUAGGGACUAAAUUUGUGACGACAGGUAAACAUAUGGACCAUUUAUGUAAUUUUGGCCGUGGCGGUGUUGGUGGUAAUGACAACUGGUGGGUGGCUUUAUGGUAUUGGGUGGGGAUUUUCUAAUAAAUAAAACAUUAAUUUAAAACCAAAAAGAGAAAUAUAAAUUAAUAAAAAAAUCGGAUUAGGAGUAAAAGAGUGAUUUCGGUUUCUAUCGUUGUCAUCAAUGUGUUAAAUUUGGUAAACCACAGGGACUAAUUGUGUAAUUUUGUUUAACAAUAAUAAUAACAAUAAUAAUAAGGGACCAUUUCUGCCAAAAGACUAAAUACUAAUAAUAUGUAAUAAAAGGCGAGAGUUAUGAAAAAUUCAAAUGAAAGUGAAAGGGUUGUUUGUGAACAAAAGCAUAAAGGUGCAGGGUCAAUGUUGUAAGUAGUUUUUGAAAACCAACAUAAGUUGGAGGACCAAAAGUGACAAAAAAAAUUGACAAAAAAAAAGGAGCAAACAUACAUAACCUUAGGGACCAAUCUUGCCAAACACUUAGGAAGUUUAUUAUUCCUAACUUUCAUAUCUUUAAUAUAUAUAUUAAUUUGGUAGAUAUUCUUAAAUUGAAAGUACAAUUUUGUAAUAUAAUUGAAUGGAAGUAAUAUAAAAAUAAGUUAAGUACAUUGAUAUAUUUGCAUUUAACUUACUCUCUCUCUCUCUCUCUCUCUCUCUCUCUCUCUCUCUCUCUCUCUCUCUCUCUAUCCACGGGUGGCAGAAUCAGUGAAUCUUCUUUUUUCCAAAAAAAAAAGCAAAAAAAAAAAGAUAGUAUUAUUAAUUUAGUGAUAUGGAAGUUGGUAUCUGCUUAAGAAAGGUAGUUGGUUAUUACAAUGCUAGAACAGUUGAAUUCAUUAUUCAUACCCUUUUUAUUACUUUUAUUAAUUUGUUUAAUAAAUGGUAGUUGCUCUUGUUGCACAUCCUGUUUAUCUUGCAAUAGAACAUAUUUGAUUACUAUGCAUUUGUUAAUGGGCGAAUGUACUAUACUUUUAACAAUCCCCGCAACGCUAGGAAACCUUUCUAGUUUCAUAUUCAACUAGAAAGGUUACCACCGCUACGCGAGGGCCAGAAGCUUUCAAUGUUGUUUCCGAAUUGAUAAAUAUGACAGACAUAGAAAGUGCAAGGAUGAAAAGUCCGGGCUUUGCCCCGGACAAAAAAUGUAAAAGUUUUGACUGCAAGGACCAGAAGUCUAAAAAUGGCUAAAGAAGUAAAGGGGUAGGAAUUAGCAACUUUUUAGAAAAGGGAUCAAAUUUGUUAAACCGUUAAAGUUUUGUGGUCAAACUUUAAAUAUUAAAAGGUUCCAAAAAAGUGUACAAAUAUUGAUUGCAAAGAGCAAAAGUGUCAAAAUGGGUAAAGAAUAAUGAGCAAAGUUGCCAAAAAACAUCCAAAUUUAGUAUUUCUAACUUCCAACAAUAAUACAGGGACCAAUUCUGCCAAAAAAAUAGGAAGUUGAAUGAAACACAAACAAAAUGACAUGAAUAAAUUAGUUAAAGAAGUAUAGGGACUGGAUAUGUAAAUCAAGGGACCAAACUUGGACAAAAUGUCCCAAGUUUACUAUUCUUUUCUUCCACAACUUUAAUAUAUAUAUAUAUAUAUAUAUAUAUAUAUAUAUAUAUAAUAAGCNAGUGAAAAACAAUAAAUAUAUUUAUACAACUGUUAACAACAAUUGUAAAUAAUAAUAAUAAUAAUAAUAAUAUAUUUUAUUACCUCUAAAUAACGUCGUUGGGCAUAGGAUCUACAUCCGUGAGCACUUGAGUGCGGAAGUUUCGACCUAGUAACAUUAUUUUUUUACAGACGUGGGUUUAUAUUUAUCAAUCAAGAACAACAAAUCAAUCAUUUUAUUCCAAGCUCCGGCGGUCCAAUCAGUCGAUGUACAUCUUCUUGCCCUUUCCACAACAUGAUAUCCACCAACUCUAUAAAAAUGCUUUUUCAUCUAAUACUUGCGCUCUCGAUAAGCUCUUUGCAUACUGCUUGGAUACCCGCUCAAACAGGUUCCUACAAAUCUGUGCCCCGAUACCUAUCAAGAUCAAAAUAAGUCUACAAAAGAAAAAACAUAUUUGAUUAGUAAAAAAUAUUUAGUAAGUGUAAAAUUCAAUUAAUAUAAAAUAUAUUGUAUACUUACUUCUAGCUUAGUGUAACAACCCGAUGUUUCAACUCUUUGUAAUGACCUAAAAAGUCAAGUAUUGUAACCACUUUUGAGUUAAUAAAAUUAACUUUGAUAAUAAAAUGUCCAAAAAGUUCUAUUUAAAUUCCCUCUAUGUUUAAAUGUCAUUAAACCAUGAUCGUACGUAAAAAGAACGCCCAAAUCCGGCUUCGUAUAUUGAAGUUAAGAUUUUUCCAAGUUCGGCUUAGGAGCAGACAGCUAAAAUCUCGAAUCGGAGAUCGAACGACUUUUGGCCGGAAUGACCUAAACAAGAAUCGAAGGUCUCGACAAUGGUAUUUCAGCGGUAAAAAGUCUGGCAAAAACCGACGUCAGAUAAAGAAGUUAUGAAUUUUUAAAGAAAUUCCUUAAACACAACGAUUUAUAAAAUAAAUAAUAAAAAUAAUUUCGAAAUUUGCCAACGGAGACUAAACGAAAGUUGUAGAGCGUAGUCUCACCUACGCGUGGAUAUAAAGACCAUCAAAAACGGAGUUCGUAUGAGGAAGAUAUGAAUUUUUGAAGUUUAUUAAAUAAAUUAUAAUUAUAUUUAAAUCAAAAUGCUAGUAAUAUCCGAAGAGGAGUCAGCGUCCUCAUCCGAGGUACGCGCCGCAUAACCCUGUACGCCCAGCGUACCCGAGGGCCUUGGUCUCGGUCCGUCCACGUCGCCCCUAUGCGAAGCUAUCCGACCCGCCGUCCCAUCCGAAGCCGAGGCAGUCGAGGACUCGGUCAUGCAUGACGUACGAGUACGCGCUGCGUACGAGCGUACGCCCCGCGUACCGAGGCUUCUCAGACCCCCUAUAAAUAGAAAUGCGAGGGUUCCGGAAAAAUCACCCCAUUUCUCUCAUUUCUCUCACGAUCUUGCCUCGUUUUCCGUGCCCGCACUACCCCGAAGCUCUGGUCUUUUUGCUCAAGUCCCGAGGGUCGAUUUUACUCCCGAGAUUCCCGAGAAUCCCGAGAAAAAUCCGUUUCCCGAGACGAAACUCUGCCCGGUUUUCCAUCUCGCUAUCUUCAAACUUUCAAGUGAGUUCAUACCCCUNNNNNNNNNNNNNNNNNNNNNNNNNNNNNNNNNNNNNNNNNNNNNNNNNNNNNNNNNNNNNNNNNNNNNNNNNNNNNNNNNNNNNNNNNNNNNNNNNNNNNNNNNNNNNNNNNNNNNNNNNNNNNNNNNNNNNNNNNNNNNNNNNNNNNNNNNNNNNNNNNNNNNNNNNNNNNNNNNNNNNNNNNNNNNNNNNNNNNNNNNNNNNNNNNNNNNNNNNNNNNNNNNNNNNNNNNNNNNNNNNNNNNNNNNNNNNNNNNNNNNNNNNNNNNNNNNNNNNNNNNNNNNNNNNNNNNNNNNNNNNNNNNNNNNNNNNNNNNNNNNNNNNNNNNNNNNNNNNNNNNNNNNNNNNNNNNNNNNNNNNNNNNNNNNNNNNNNNNNNNNNNNNNNNNNNNNNNNNNNNNNNNNNNNNNNNNNNNNNNNNNNNNNNNNNNNNNNNNNNNNNNNNNNNNNNNNNNNNNNNNNNNNNNNNNNNNNNNNNNNNNNNNNNNNNNNNNNNNNNNNNNNNNNNNNNNNNNNNNNNNNNNNNNNNNNNNNNNNNNNNNNNNNNNNNNNNNNNNNNNNNNNNNNNNNNNNNNNNNNNNNNNNNNNNNNNNNNNNNNNNNNNNNNNNNNNNNNNNNNNNNNNNNNNNNNNNNNNNNNNNNNNNNNNNNNNNNNNNNNNNNNNNNNNNNNNNNNNNNNNNNNNNNNNNNNNNNNNNNNNNNNNNNNNNNNNNNNNNNNNNNNNNNNNNNNNNNNNNNNNNNNNNNNNNNNNNNNNNNNNNNNNNNNNNNAGCACGUCGGUUGCUUGCGAUUUUCGGUCUUAGAGACUGCCAGUUAUGUCAGGAAAAUAAGGGUUUUUCCUGUAUACAAACCAAACAACUAAUAGGAAAAUAAGGGAUUUUCUCGGUACAAUUAGUUGCAACUUAUAACACGAACAUUCAUAUGCAUUUCAUACUUUUAUAAGAAAAUAAGGGUUUUUCGUGGAAAACACAACAAAUCAUACCUCAACCAUUAGGGAAAAUAUGGGAUUUUCUGGAUCUAAUACAUUCAUUUUCAACACAACAAAUCGUAACUCUUUACAUUCGAAACACUGCGUUUUCUGGAAAACACACACGAACUUUCGAAUGGCGUACAUUUUCUCAAAACACUACUCAUGAACUCACCAACUUAAUUGUUGACACUUUUUCUUUGAAAUAACUUGUAUUCUCAAGGAACCGCUAAGCAGAUUUGGAAAUCAAAUUUUGGAGAUUAACGUGCUGACGUUAAUUACUUCUUUUGAAAGAUGUUUAUGUAUUUAACUUUUGAACAUGUAACGAAUACAAUUAUGUAAACAUUUUGGAAACUUUAAUAUAUAUGGUGGUGUGUACUUUCCUUUCUAUGAACUGUUAUGAUACUGAAUAUGACGUCCUCCGCCCCCGAACGUUUCCGUCGUUCUGGUUUGGGGGUGUGACACUUAGGAUACAAAUCAUCUUUGUACAUGGUAGGAACUUGAGGCCAAGUAUUAUAAUGCAACGGUACCUCUGAUCCCACCAGAUUUGAGAUCAAUCUGACAAACAAUUGUCUGUUGUCCCCCACGAAUCGAUACGUCCGCCCAGAGGUAUCAAGUCUCACAACCAAAGAAUUACAAUCAUUAUUUUCAAACUCAUCGUACAAAUUUAGGUUUCUCCCUUUGCCACACACAUCCACAAUCUUUUCCUUUGUUAUAUUUACGUAUAGAAUUGGAAAUUUAGAAAUUUAAAACUUUAAUAUAUCUACUGCUUAAGAAUUCCAUGUAACUUACAAGAUUGGCAACCCGAUGGUACACCGCGUGCGACCCCGUGUGGAAGUCUAUCCCCACCGUCUCCUCCAUGUCCCCUUGUGUUUUCUGCCAUCAGUUUAACAAAUAUUAUAAGCAUUCAAAAUAUAUAAUAAAGCUACUUAUAAAUAAGCAACAUUUGAAAAUUUAACUAAUAUUUUAAACAAUCAGGAUAUAUAAUAACUAUAACAUAUCGUCAAUCAGAUUCUUCACUAGAACAGUAUACAUGUACAACAUCAUCAUCACUGUUAUAGUUUUCAUGAUUUAUUUCUUCAUCUAAAUAUUACGUAUCACCACCACCAUCAUCAUCGUUAAUGAAACUGUCAUCGUUUAUAGUAGGAGCAACAUUUCUCCUAGCAACUACACUUGGUUCACCAACUUCACCUACAAUCAUCUUCGUAGGCAAAGUGCCUAAGUCGGCAACCAAGGUAAAAUCAGUUGAUUGAGUGUUGUUCACGACAUUUAUCUCAUUUGCAACACCGAUACCUGGAUGAUUCCAAAGUUUUCGAUGACGAACCUCUUCCACAACUUUCCAGUUAUUAUUUUGAGUAGGAUCUUGGAGAUAAAAUACUUGUUUAGCUUGUGUGGCUAAGAUGUCUUAUUUAUCAUCAAACCACGUUUUACCGACAUACCAUUCAUGACUAGUAUCGAUAACAAGCAUAUUAUUUAUAGUCUUUAAAUGUCCAUUACGUAAUGACGCAUUGAACCAUUUACCCUGAAAGAGUACAACUAAUUUACCAUAUAAAAAAUGCAACUCUAUGAUUUCCUUUAUUUGACCAUAGAUAGGUGUAUCGUCUUCUCCGAAUGUAACAACACCACUAUUUUGAGUAGUGCGUCAAAGAUCACGGCUAUCACGACAAAUCGAACACCAUUUACUAUGCACGCAGUGUAAGAAUAUGCACGAAACAGAGCAUGUGCCAACGCCUUUAAUUCGUCAAUAUAGUCCGAAGGCAUAUCUUUUUGGAGAUAACAAAUCUGUAAGGUAAUAUAAGAUUGUAUGUUUAAGUAAUAAAUUAGUUUUAGAUUAGUUUUACAUUAUAACUAUAUAACGUACUUAACUUUUCUUUAAACCAUGAAGGAAAUUGCAUUUUGAAAUCACUUUCAGCCAAUUCUGAUUUGAAUUCACUAGAUACGAGACAAAACAAUUAGAAUAGUUAAAAUAUAUUAUAACACUAUCGAAAAUGUAGUUAAUAAAUGAGAAACUUACGAUUUGUAGCUUCAUAUCUCAUGAUCAUCGCAAUUGUUUAGUGCAAACCAAUGCAAUGAUUUUUUUGGCCUCUUUAUAAAGUUCAACGAUUUUCUUAGUUGACGUUGUUCGACAUUGUGAUGAGAACAUAGAAAAUUGUCUUUUUGGAAGGUCGGGAUCAUCAUUUCUUUCAGCAUGGUUGUAUUUAUUUUGCAUACCCUCAAUAUACAUAGAUUAGAAUGUCAAAGCUUCGUCAACAACAUAACCCUCUAUUAUUGAACUUUCUGGUUUGGCUUUGUUUCUGACAUAAUUUUUAAUUUUUACAUAUAUCUUUUGAAAGGAUACAUCCAUCUCAUGUGUGUAGGACCUCGAAGAAUGCUGUCACACCCCCAAAUCAGAAUAGAGGAAACGUUCAGGGGUGGAUGACGUCAUGUACAAUAUCAUAACAGUUGAGUAAUAGUAAAGCAAGCAAAAACAACCAUCAUAAAUAUAAUUUAAAAGGUUACAUUGUUGCGUGAGUUACAUGUUUCCAAAUAAAUUACAGUAUGAUGACAAAAUGAGUUUUAACCGGUGCCUUAGCGUCCCGUCCUCAAAAGCUGGUGAUUACCUAUAUAACUGAUUCCCUGAGAAUACAAGUUGUUUUGAAAAGGUGACAACAAUUAAGUUGGUGAGUUCAUAAGUGUUUUAUAUGAGAAAAUGUAUGUCUUUCCAUGUAAAACAAUCGUGUUUGUUCCAGAAAAUCCGUUAUUUUCCAAUACACGAGUUGUAAGCCGUUGUUGGUAAUAUUGUUGGAUAUAGUGUCUAAGUCCAUAACUAUAUUUGGUAUAUACUUGACCCGACCCAGCAUGGUCCAUUUGGGUUGCACUUCACCCGAACACUUUAUGGAUAAUAUUUGAGAAUAGUACAAGUUAUGAUUUAUUAAUAUAUUAUAAGUUCUAAUAUAUUAAUAUACGAUCAUAUUAUUUAAUUAGUAGUGAUCUAUAAUUAAUCUAGGAUUAAUUUAGUGAUCAAAGAUAUUACUAAUUAAAUAUGGGCUUCUAUAUUUAUAUAGUGUGGGCUUAUGCUUAUUUGGAAUGGGCUAGGCUUGGAUGGAGAAGUCCAUGGAUACUCCAUGGAGCUUUAACCCAUGGAUCUCAUGGAAAUGAAGAGACAUGGGUAUUAGGGUUUACAUGGAUGUAACCCUAAUCCACCACACUAUAUAAAGGAGGCGUUGGUUCUUGAAAUCACACUAGUUGACACUUGUGGAGUUGAGGGCCGAUUUCAAGAAGUGGUGACUAUUCUCUCAAAGUUCCAAGUUUGUGGUGAUUUGUGACUUUCAUUUGAGGCAUCCACAUUAUUGGUGCUAGGCUCAAGAACUCCAAGCAAUCAACUACAUCUACAAGGUAAGUGUUUCUACUAGCUUUAUUUGAUUCAAGUUCCCCAUGCCAUGCUAGUUAGGAUAUAAGUCUUGGAAAAUUAAUUAUUUGCAUGUAUCUUAGACAAACAUAGAUCCAAGGUUUAUUAGGGUUGCAUGUACACUUAGGAAGUGUUAGAAUGCUCAAAACCCAUCAGUGGUAUCAGAGCCUAGGCUUGUUUGUUUGUUAUUUGUGCUUAAAAGUUGAAGAAAGUCGAAAAUUCUGCUGUCUGACUGAUGGACUCGGCGAGUCCAUGGGGAGGACUCGUCGAGUUCAUGUGUAUCUUCAACCUACUCGGCGAGUAGGUUUAUGCACUCGGCGAGUAGGGUCGACAGAGUGCAGAAUUUCGACUUGAGUUGCUGGAAAUGGAUUAGAAUCAUUACCCUAAAAUGUUUUGGUACUUGAAAACUUAUUUUAGAAGGUGUAAUGUCUUUUCUAACUCAUUUACAACAACUAGUUAUCAAAAUUACAAAGAUUAAAUGUGAUUUUGAUUCUUGAAAGUGUUCAUAUUCAUAUUCUUGUUCUUAUGAUGUUUAGAUGAUCAUAGGAAUUAUUUGUAACCUAUGUGGUAGAUUAAUUCAUGAUCAUAAUGUGUUUUAAUGGAGUCCAUAACUUGUCCUCAAGUUAUGGAAAACCAAAAGUCUCUUGGAUUAAAAACCAUUAAAAGAACACAAGAGUUAGGAAAAAUGAAAAGUCCUCAUUUUAUUACUCUAUUAAACUCAUAAGUUACAAGAAAUGAAAAGUUUUGAAAGUUUACAAAACUUGCCCUCAAGUUUUGGAACAAGUAAAGUUAAGUUAAAACUUUAGUUCCAACCCCUAGAAUUUUAAAAGUUAAAAUUCAACCCUUAUACUUAUAUUAUUAUGAUUUAAUAAUUAUAUAUAUAUGUAUAAGAACAAAGUCGUCUUACCGCUAGUACGCCUCAUUCACGAAGCCGGUCUAUAAGGUGGGUAUAAGGUUGUUGCCUAUAAAAUGGUGACUUAAUGGGUGUCCACUCUCACCCACCGCUUGCUUGAUCGGUGGAGGGUCGUUAGCCGAACGGGUAAGACAAGGACUUAUUAAUUCUCAUUCAAAGUAUGAUGAAUAUUAUAAAGUAACUAAAUGUUUUAUUAAAUUCCCAAUCUUAGUUACUUUAGGAAAAAUGUGAAUAAGGUGCUAUUCCAUGAAAUUACACUUUACACUUUGAUUAAGUCGUUGGUGGAGCGUGUGUGGUUAACCGGCACACUAACUUGGACUUAACAAGGUAGGUAAAGGGUGACUUAGGGUUUAUUAUAGUAUCGAUGGAGCGUGUGUGGUUAACCGGCACAUCGAUUGAGUGAUAAACUUUAAGGGUACCAAGUGAUUUGCAUGGUUACUUCACACCUCGUUUUGUGAUCCUCGGUAUCCCAGUCACAAAACUUGGAGGGCACACUCGAGAUUGAAACAUGCCUUUGAAAAGUUCAUUGAAUCUCAAAGAAUCUAGGAAUUUCUAAGAACCAUUCAAAAACCUAAUACUAAAAUAUUGCGGUUUUCGUGGUGGAAAUUGGUGAAUCGUCAUUCACCUACCUUUCAAAUAUGAUAUAGCUUAGAUUACGGCAUACCUCUUCUAAGUUAUAUUAUAUUGUGAUUGGAUCCUAGCCUUAAUAUUACAUUUGGGUGUUUUAUUAAGGACUCUCUUAUAUCUAAACUAAUCUUGUCCUCUUUCCUUCAGAUGUCUUUCAACAAUGCUUCUGGCUCUAAUCCUAAUGGCUCCUUUACCCUUAUGAACUUGUGUGGGAAAGUCACCUUUGAUGGAUCCAACUUCAAUGAGUGGAUCAGAAACAUCAGGAUGAUUACCCGCUACGAGGACAAAGAAUAUGUCCUUGACAAGGAGCUUAAGGAGAUUGAUGAGUCCACUGCAACUCCUCAGGAGAUCGCUGAAUUUCGGGCACAUGAAAGGGAUGCUACGAAAGUGGCUUGCAUCAUGAUGGCCACGAUGACAGCGGAACUCCAAAAGUCUUAUGAGGAUUUCUACCCUUAUGACAUGCACCAAGAUUUGAUGGAAAGAUACCAUCAAAGUGCAAGACAAGAGAGGUAUGAAAUCAUCUGCUCCAUGAUAACAACCAUGAUGAAGGACGGGGAAUCCGUCACGAGCCACAUGCAGAAAAUGCAAAGGUAUGUGGAUCGUUUGCUGAAGCUUAAUGUGAACUUCCCGGAGGAUCUUGCAAUAGAUAUUAUUUUGCAUUCCUUACCAUCGUGCUAUGAUCAAUUCCGCAUGACAUAUCACAUGAACAAGGAAGAAGUCACCCUCAGCAAACUUCAGGGACUUCUCAAGACCGCAGAAACAGGUCUUAAGGGGAAGUCGGUUGCUAUCACUCCUACUCAAAACUCUACUCCGGUUUUGGCAAUCGGGAAAAGUCGAGGGAGGAAGAGAAAGAGCUCUUCUAAGGGUACCAAGGCUCGGACCCUUGAUGGCUCUUCUUCAAGUGGAACCAAGAAAGGUUUCGUUACUCCUUCUUCUGACCCAAAAGAGGCUGAAUGCUUCUAUUGCCAUGAAAAAGCUCAUUGGAAGCGGAACUGCCCAAAAUACCAGCAAGAUGUGAAGGAUGGGAAAGUUAAACCCAACCAUGCAGGUAUUUACACUAUCAUUUCUAAUAACUCACCCCAUUCUAAUUCUUGGGUCCUUGAUACCGGGUGUGGUAUUCACAUUUGUUGUGACUUGCAGGGACUAAGAAGAAGUGAGGAUGUGGAGCAAGGAAGGAUAAACUUGAUCAUGGGGAAUAGGAAAGCUAUACCUGUUACCAAGAUUGGAGUUUAUACUUUAUCGCUAAGUAGUGGGUUUAGUUUAGAUUUGAAUAAGUGUUGUUAUUCGCCAGGAAUGGCAAGAAAUAUUAUUUCCUUUCAUGCUUUGUACAAACAAGGGUUUACCUUUUCAUUUAAUAAUGAAGUUGGUUCUAUAGAUGUUUUCUAUAAUAAUGUCUUUUAUUUUAAAGCAUUACCUUGUGAUGGUGUGUAUGAAGCUGUAUCUGUUGUAGAUAACUUGGGAAAUAAUGUUUUGUGUAUUGAUUCUACUAAUAAUAACUUGGAUAAAGCAUCUUUAUGGCAUUGUCGUCUUGGACAUAUAAGCAAGAAACGCAUAGGCCAACUCCAAAAGGAUGGAGUCUUGGAGUCGUUUGACCUAAAGUCAGAUGAUAGUUGCGAAUCAUGCUUACUUGGAAAAAUGACAAAGUCACCCUUCACAGGUUCGUGUGAGAGGGGUGAAGGUUUGUUGGACCUUAUACACACGGAUGUGUGUGGACCAUUCAAACAUGCCACAAGGGAUGCUAAUCGUUAUUAUUUGACUUUUACUGAUGAUUAUAGUAGAUAUGGAUAUGUCUACUUGAUCAAGCAUAAGUCAGAGACUUUCGAGAGGUUUAAGGAAUUUAAACAGGAAGUCGAGAAUCAAUUGGGCAGGAACAUUAAGAUGCUUCGAUCCGAUCGUGGUGGUGAGUAUCUUAGUUCAGAGUUCCUCGACUAUCUAAGGGAAUGUGGGAUAGUCUCACAAUUGACACCUCCCAGGACACCACAGUUGAAUGGUGUGGCUGAGAGGCGUAAUCGAACCUUGUUAGAUAUGGUUCGUUCCAUGAUGAGUCGAGCUACGCUACCAAUCUCAUUCUGGGGGUAUGCCUUAGAGACUGCCGCCCAUAUUCUUAAUCUAGUCCCUACAAAGAAAGUUGCCAAAACUCCUCACGAGAUGUGGACUGGUAAAGUACCUAAACUAGACCACAUCAAGAUUUGGGGUUGCGAGGCUUUCGUGAGACGCGAGACUCAUGAUAAGCUCGAACCUCGAAGCGAGAGGUGUAUUUUCAUCGGUUACCCACAGCGAUCCUUUGGUUACCUCUUCUACAGACCUAGUGACAAUGUGGUCUUUGUAGCAAGAAGAGGAGUCUUUCGAGAAAGAGAGUUUAUAAGCCAAGGAGACAGUGGGAGGCAAAUUGAUCUUGAAGAAAUUCAAGAAUCAAGCGGUGAAGGAACUUCAAACUCUAGCCCUCAACUUGAGGAGGAAACUCCUGUUGAGCCAAUUGACAAAUCUGUACCUCUGAGACGUUCCACGAGAGUUAGGAGUGCACCUGAGCAUUACUAUGGAUUCCAUAUUACUGCAGAAGGUGAGACACUUAUUAGUGAUGAGACACUAGUAAGUCAAGAUGACCCUAACAGCUACGAGGAAGCCAUGGCAGGCCCCGAGUCUGCUAAAUGGAAAGAGGCUAUGGAUAGCGAGAUACAAUCCAUGUAUGACAAUCAAGUUUGGAACUUGGUUGAAAAUGUACCAGGUCGUAAGACAGUAGGGUGCAAAUGGGUCUUCAAGAAGAAGACCGACAUGGAUGGUAAAGUACACACUUAUAAGGCUAGACUGGUUGCAAAGGGCUUCUCUCAAAUUCCUGGAGUGGAUUAUGAUGAGACCUUUUCUCCGGUAGCCAAGAUUAAGUCUAUUCGGGUUCUGUUAGCCAUAGCUGCAUUUCAUGACUAUGAAAUAUGGCAGAUGGAUGUCAAAACCGCUUUCCUUAAUGGAAAGUUGGCUGAAGAUGUUUACAUGAGUCAGCCAGAGGGUUUUGUCAGCAACGAGUACCCUAAUAGAGUGUGUAAGCUUGAGAAAUCCAUUUAUGGAUUGAAGCAAGCACCUCGCAGAUGGAAUCUUUGCUUUGAUGAAAAGGUCAAGGAAUUUGGCUUUUCUAGGAGUGAAGAUGAAUCUUGUGUGUAUGUCAAGGCUAGUGGGAGUAUAGUUAGCUUUUUGGUAUUGUAUGUGGAUGACAUACUACUCAUAGGAAACGACAUUCCAACCCUGCAGGAAGUAAAGUCCUGGCUUGGGAAGUGUUUCGCUAUGAAGGACCUUGGUGAAGCUGCCUAUAUUCUAGGGAUAAGAAUCUUGAGAGAUCGGAGUAAAAGACUAAUUGGACUUAGUCAGAGUACCUACUUGGAUAAGGUGCUGAAGAGAUUCAGCAUGCAGGAUUCCAAGAAAGGAGAGUUACCCAUCCAGAGUAACACCAGAUUGAGUAAGACACAAAGCCCUAGCACUGAGGCUGAGAUAGCAGAAAUGAGUCGAACACCUUAUGCUUCGGCUGUAGGAUCGAUCAUGUAUGCUAUGACGUGUACUCGACCCGAUGUAGCUUUUGCCUUGAGCAUGGUUAGCAGGUAUCAGGCGAACCCUGGCAAGGCACACUGGACUGCGGUAAAGAAUAUCCUCAAGUACCUACGGAGGACUAAGGACUGGGUCCUUACCCUCGGUGGGAGUGAUGACUUGAGAGUUGUAGGGUAUAGUGAUGCUAGCUUCCAGACUGAUAGGGAUAAUUUCCGCUCUCAGUCGGGCUGGGUCUUUACCCUAAACGGAGGAGCAAUUUCUUGGAAGAGUUCCAAGCAAGAGACAGUGGCAGAUUCUACUUGUGAAUCAGAGUAUAUUGCAGCUAGCGAGGCAGCAAAGGAGGCGAUAUGGCUGAAGAACUUCAUUGGAGACCUUGGAGUUGUACCAGCUAUUAAAGAGCCAAUGGAAAUUUUCUGUGAUAGUGAAAGUGCUGUUGCCUUAGCCAAGGAACCAAGGGAUCAUGGGAGAUCCAGACACAUCGACAGAAAAUACCAUUUCAUUAGACAUCGGAUCGAAGAAGGACUCCUCGUGGCAAAGAGGGUAUCAUCGGAUGAGAACCCAGCAGAUCCCCUCACGAAGGGACUGAGUAGGGUUAAGCAUCUCCAGCAUGCUCGGAGCAUAGGGCUGAAGGAUGAUAUAAGUUUUAGUAGUUAGAUAACCCAGAAAUUUGUAAAGUGUAAUUGACAUUUGAUGAUGAAUAAAAGGUGUUUUAUUUAUGAGUAAAGUGUUGCUAUCUCUUGUCGAUCGUUUACUAUAUUUCUUUUGCAUGUUUUGACUUCCAGAAUAAUUUUGUUUGGUAUAACAUAUUAUUCAAACCUCCACAGUCGGUCAUAUGUCGGAAGUAGGUAUGAAUCAAGACUGUCAUGAUGGGUUGCAGAGGUCUAAGGUGUUGGACAAGGCUACAACAAUCAUGAGUGCUCAUAAGUUCUGAGCAUUGGACUCAACCCACGCUCACUGGAAUCACUUCAUGGAAUUUUAUCUCGAGUGAUCGUGAGACGGUAAUAUCAUAUAAGUCUUCAAACCUAGAGAUAUGAUUUGUUACUUACGAGUUGGUUAUGCAUUGAUUGUACGAAAACGCAUUGGUAACUCGAUGUUAUAAAACGUGCUUUUGUGUGUAAUUCAAUGAGUGGUAGAACAAACAUAUGAGUCGAAGUUUAUCUGUUCCUUCUUGGAUUAGAAGCUGAUAUCUGGGCCCCUCGAUGAUUUUGUUUUGACCUAUGUACCGGGCCCGGUCAGAACUAAAUUGAUGUGUUCAGUUGAGUUCUAUGUCAAACAAAUCGGAAAUCGGGAAACAAAUGCUGGACAAUAAGUAAGACAAUGUUCCAUGUAUUUGUCCGGCUGAUAUCUAGAACAGAGGAUUAUAUGAUCACUUAUCUAAAUGGCGCGUUCUAGUUCAACAGAGUUUAAAGAGCUACGAGUGCUGAUCGGUUCCUGAAGUUAUACUUGCAAAUAUAGUUACUAGACUUAUCCAAGUGGGAGACUGUUGGAUAUAGUGUCUAAGCCCAUAACUAUAUUUGGUAUGUACUUGACCCGACCCGGCAUGGUCCAUUUGGGUUGCACUUCACCCGAACAAUUUAUGGAUAAUAUUUGAGAAUAGUACAAGUUAUGAUUUAUUAAUAUAUUAUAAGUUCUAAUAUAUUAAUAUAAGAUCAUAUUAUUUAAUUAGUAGUGAUCUAUAAUUAAUCUAGGAUUAAUUUAGUGAUCAAAGAUAUUACUAAUUAAAUAUGGGCUUCUAUAUUUAUAUAGUGUGGGCUUAUGCUUAUUUGGAAUGGGCUAGGCUUGGAUGGAGAAGUCCAUGGAUACUCCAUGGAGCUUUAACCCAUGGAUCUCAUGGAAAUGAAGAGACAUGGGUAUUAGGGUUUACAUGGAUGUAACCCUAAUCCACCACACUAUAUAAAGGAGGCGUUGGUUCUUGAAAUCACACUAGUUGACACUUGUGGAGUUGAGGGCCGAUUUCAAGAAGUGGUGACUAUUCUCUCAAAGUUCCAAGUUUGUGGUGAUUUUUGACUUUCAUUUGAGGCAUCCACAUUAUUGGUGCUAGGCUCAAGAACUCCAAGCAAUCAACUACAUCUACAAGGUAAGUGUUUCUACUAGCUUUAUUUGAUUCAAGUUCCCCAUGACAUGCUAGUUAGGAUAUAAAUCUUGGAAAAUUAAUUAUUUGCAUGUAUCUUAGACAAACAUAGAUCCAAGGUUUAUUAGGGUUGCAUGUACACUUAGGAAGUGUUAGAAUGCUCAAAACCCAUCAAAUAUAACAUCCCGAUUCCCAAGUAUCGGUUUAAAUAAAAGCUAUUUGGUUUUGAGACCUACUCGACGAGUUUGUUGCCCUACUCAUCGAGUAGCAGCGAGGUGGGAUCGUGUAUUUAGUGGCCUACUCGCCGAGUCCAGAAAGGGAAUCGAAGAGUAGGAGCUAGCAGAUGAAACCCUAAAUCCCGGGGUUUUGCACCCUAUUUAAAGAGGUAUAAGCCCCCUUUAGCCUCUUUGCAGUCCAUUGAGAAACCCUAAUUCGUGUGGCGUUCAUUCUUAUGUGUCUUGAGCUUUAGAGAGGAGUUUUUGGGAAGGAAGAGCUUGGAGGACAAGAGAUUAUGAGCGAAGAAGGGCUUUUAUGGCAUAUUUGAGAUGAUAAUGUGGAGUAUGAGCUAGAUCUGAAGUUGUAACUUCGGAUCUGGACCUUUCUUGGGUUAUAGAGUUAGAAAGUUAUGAAUAGGACAUAUAUGAAGCCUUCCUUGAGUAUGAAACCCGAUUAUAGGCUUGGAUUUGUCAUUUAGAGCCUUUGUAGCCAUGCAUGCACGUAAAGUUUGCAACUUUACGUGAAAUGCAUGCCUUAGAAGCUUGGAUCUGUAAUUUGGAGCCACUGCAUGGCUUAAAAAGAGUCUGUAUGGCUUAUGAACAGAAGGAGCUCGGAGAGUUGCAAGUUCGACUUGGCGAGUCAUAUGAAGAUAGACCUGGACUCGACGAGUCGGAUAAACAACUCGGCGAGUCCGAUUAAGAUUGCCAAGGAACUCGACGAGCGGUAUAAACCAAUCAGCGAGUCGGAUGAGUUUUCCCCAAUUUAGGUAUAUGUGCGUAACUGUCGAGUUGCAAGAAGGAAACUCGACGAGUGGCCUUAGAGAUCAAUCGUAAACCAAAGGAACUCGUCGAGUAACUCCGUGACUCGGUGAGUGGGCAAGUACUUCAAGGAACUCGAUGAGUAGUCGAGGGUACUCGGCGAGUUAGGGUCAACAUGGACUGUUGACCUUGACUGAUGACCUUGAUUUUGACCAGGGUUUGAUUAGUGGCAUUUGGGAUACCUUGAAAGGUUGGGAACUUAUGGGUAUAAUUAUAUUAUGGUAAUAGGUUGUGGAGCUUUGUCAGUUAUCCGAGAGUUGGAGUUCAUCUACCGAGUCGACAUCUGCAAGGUGAGUUAUCCUCACUAUAUCAAUAGUGUCUAAGGCACCAAGGCCGGCCCUUUAGUUUUUAUUGUUAUGGUAUGCUACCUAUGGUUAUCAUUUGUUAUAUUAGAAUCAGGAUAGACAAUAUGUUAGGCUCUUUUGAUCUGUAGGGAUUGGUACGAUAGUAACCUGCUAGGUCGAUGUUGUAGUUAUGAGAGAUUGCUAUGAUUGAUGAUCAGUGAGAUAGAUAUGUUUGUGUUUAUAUAUGCCAGUACAUGCUAGUUAUGCGCACAGGUUAUUUGCUUAUUGAUUGGGUUGAGGUGGUCCUGCUUUGUGCUGAAGGCCAACACACCCUAUGAGCGGUCUGGGGAGACUGUAGGCCCACGUGGCGGUCCAGUUAUGCCGAAGGCUCAGGACAGAUUCAGUUAGACUGUAGGCCCUACAGGGCGGUCCAGUCAAGCUGAUGGCCUAGUAUGCAUGUUGUUGAUUGUUUGUUAUUGAUAUGGUAUUAUCGGUGUGGUGUUGGUAUUUUGGGGGUAGCUCAUUAAGCCCUUGGGCUUACAGUUUCAGUUUAUUGUUUUAGGUACUUCAGGAGAUCAUGGCAAGGCGAAGGCAUGACCGUACCGCUCCUCAUCCUUUUGAUCUAGUUAUUGGGACACUCUGAUGAAUAAUGAUUUGAAAACAUUUUAUAAACAAAUACUAUUUGGUUUUAUCUAUGAUUGAAAAAGUUUAAAUUUGGCGUAAAAUUUUUGGAUGUUACAAGUUUGUAUCAGAGCCUUGGUUUGACUGAAUUGGAGGAACACUCGUGUGAAUCCAGUCUUAAAUCAAGGGAAUUUUCGAAAUAAUUACUAAAAUUGUUUUCAUAAUAAGGAUGGAGGAUGCAGAGGGUACGAUCAGCCGGAGCCUGUAUGUAAACCCCAAAAUACCAUACAGUUAUUUGAUAUUAUGAUAUGAUAGAACAGCAUGCUAUUGCUAGGCUAGGAGUCUUCACGAAUCACAUGAUAAGAUUUUCCUGAUUAUAUGGUGCCUGCUAGCCUAGGGUUUCUUGUAUAUGGAAUUGACAUCAUAACUGUAGAUGUUUAGUGUAUGCAUCACGGCUGUGUAUAAUCAAGAUCUUAUAGCCUGAGAAUGUCUGAUUCGACCUUAGUGUAGGAUUAGAUAUUCGAAAGUCUAUUGGGUCCAACGUUAUGUGUGGCAAGCAUACACUAGUUCUGCAGGGUUGGUGAAAGUUUCAUGGAUGUGUGAGUUAUGAGAAGCUGCGAGACCAGUUGCGAGAUAGUCGAUAUUCCCCAGGGGUGAGGGUUGAGCGCAUAUUAUGUUGAUGAUAUUGUUAUGGCGUUGUGAUGAUACUUGAGAAAAAUAUGGGUAGGUAUGGAAGGUAGUAUGGGCCCAUACUACUGAAAGCACAGGACCCAUAUGCGUAGCAAGGAAGUCACAACCCCUAGGGUUGUGGGAAUUGGUCUCCUGAUAUUAUGUCAUUUAUCUGACGUCUUGGUUAUAUUUUUCAGUAUGGUGGUGACGAGACGUUUUGCUACUGGAUCCGGUUCAGGGUUAGGAUCGGGAUUAGGAUCGGGAGACGGAGGGUCGGAGGUGCCGGUAGCACCUGAGCCUAUGGUACAGAUAGGGACAGAGGAGUUGGAUGCCAGGAUCCAGGAGAUUCUGCACGAUGAGAUUGCUGCGGCGUUCUAAGCGCAGCUGGCAGAGAUGUUUGGGUCGAUUAAGACCGUAAUUGUUGAGUACUUUGAUGAGUGAUAUACAGCUUUAGCAGAGAUAGUUGCCGCUGCAGCCACAUCGGUUGUAACCGCGGCAGGGGUUGGAGGAGGAGCCGUUAGGGUUUUCCGAUAUCGGGACUUCGAUAACACGAAGCCCCGGACAUUUGAUGGUACGCAGGAUGCGAUCAGGGCUAUGAGGUAGUUAUCUGACGUGGAGGGUUGUUUCUUCACAUGUUCAUGUUCAGCUGACCAGAAGGUCAGGUGUGCCAUGAACAUGCUGAGGCUUGGGGAAAAGGACUGGUGGGGAUUGACGAUGUAACACUCUAAAAAUUCAAGCCAAUUUAAACUUUUCAAAAACAACCCAAUUUCAUUAAGUUAUUACAAAAAGGUUUUCAAUACAUUUAUUAUCAGAGUAUCCCCAGAACCAUAUCAUAAAACAAGAACAUGAGGAGCGGUACAAUCACGCCUUCGCCUUUCCACAGUCUCCCGAAGUACCUGAAAACAUUAAACCACAACUGUAAACCCGAAAGCUUAGUGAGAUACCCCAAAAUACCAACCACAUAUACCAUACAUAUAAUAUAUCAUAACAAAACAGAACAGCCAUGCACUUCGGAUCUACUGUGUGAUUGGUUCGCUGCACUAGGCCUUCAGUCCACCUGGUCCACCCUCCGAGUCUAGCCAUAUACAUCGACUCUACAAUGUGAUUUGUCCGCCCGCACCGGGCCUUCAAUCCACUUGGUCCACUCUUUGAGUCUACAGUAUGACUGGUCCGCCCGCACCGGGCCUUCAGUCGGCCUGUUCCACUCUCCGAGCCUCGGCACGUCUAGUCCGCCCUCAUGGGGUCUACAGCCUAUCCGGACCGCUCGUUGGGCCUUCGGAAUAUCCGGUCCACCCUCGGUAUGUUGGCCUACAACACACAGCAGGACCCGCCUCAACCCAACCCCAGUCAACCAACCAUGUGCACAUAAACAUAUAACCAUAUAACAAUUAAUCAUCAAUCAACCGAUCUAGCAGAUCACAUACAUAGCAUACUCUAAACAGGAUACCGACCUAACCGGUCACUAAUAUAGCAUCAUCCUAUGUACCAAGAUACCGACCUUAACUAGGUGUCUAACAUAUACCAUCCUAACUACCAGGAUGCAAACAUAGCAAAGCAAUAACAUAACAACAAUACCCGGAUUACAAUCCGAUAAAGGGCCGGCCUUGGUGCCUUAGACCCUGUCGAUAUAGUGAGGAUAACUCACUUGGAAACUACUGACUGAAAAGAUAAGCUCACGCUGCUCCAACCUCCGACACGAACUCCACCACUGAUCAAUACCAAAUGACUGAACUCAAUAAAUACCAAUAAUUACCAAAAUACCCUUGGAAGUCAACUGGUCAACUCUUGGUCAAAGUCAAAGUCAACCUUCCUGACUGACUCUACUCGCCGAGUAAGCCCGCUGACUCGUCGAGUCCCUAUGCUCUGAAAACUCCCAUAUCGCGACCCAACUCGCCGAGUCGCCCCAAGACUCGCCGAGUCCCACGAACUCUGAGUCACUUCCUACUCAACUCAUCGAGUCGUCCCUCGACUCACCGAUUCAUAGCUCAACCAAAAAGGUUAGGACUUGGCGACUAGACUCGCCGAGUCCAAGGCAAUCUUCAACAGAUUCGUCGAGUUAUUCUUCCAACUCGCCGAGUUCCUGCCUUUCUUCAUCCAGCUCGUCGAGUACAUCCAUGUGACUCGCCGAGUACCUCUAGUUCUUAAUCCAUGCAGUGGCUUUCUAAGCCAUGCAGUGACUCCAAUCCAUAGAUCCAACCUCCUACAACCUUCCCCACACGUAAAGGUGCAAACUUUACGUGAAACCAUGGGGAAAUAAGCCCAAAAUACUCUAGGGCUAAGGAUUAAGGCAAAGGGACUUCACCAACCACUCUAGGACAGCACCUUUACAAAAAAUAGGAUCAUUACAAGAUUGGAUUUGAGGUUUCAACUUCAGAUCUAGCUUCUAAACUCGAAAUUGAUUCCACUCAAGCCAUAAUCCCCAAAAUAGCAACCAAGAACGAAUCUAGAAGAAGGAAACUCAAGGUAACAGAUUGUUACCUCAGAAAUGAUCCAAAGGAGGAGUAGAUCCCUGAUCUACAAUGAUAUCCAGAUGCUAGCCUCUUGAUCUUCAACCUUCUUUUUCUCAAUUUCUCUUCCCAAGCUCUAAUUCUUCAUCAAUGGAGGUUAUACACGAUUUUAGGGUUUUCUAGGUAUUGGAAGGUAACAAAGAGGCUAAGGGUGGGUUAUAAUGUCCUUUAUAUAGGGCACAAUCCCGAAAAUUAGGGUUCUCUCCACCUAGCACCAACUCGCCGAGUCACUCCUCCGACUCGCCGAGUUGGUCACUUAACACAUGACCAGAUUCGCGACCCGACUCGCUGAGUCUAACCAUUGACUCGUUGAGUCGGUCUUCCAUAUUUACACUAAGCACCCUGAACUUUGCUCUUCUGAACUCGAGGUGUUACAGACGACAGGGUCGUACACUGAUCAUUAGCGAGCUGUUGUUACUUGGGAGCAGUUCCGGAUAUGUUCCGCACACGCUACGUUCCAUGCGUUGAGCAGGAGCGACUUGCUCAGGAGUUUUUGACAUUGAGGCAGGAUGGGGAGUCAGUGAUGGAAAUCACUCAUAUGUUCACGUAGAAGGCUAUGUUUUGCCCGAAGUUUGCUUCAGAGCAGUCUCAGAUGACUCAUUAUAUGAGUAUGCUCAAGAUGGAUAUUCGACAGUUUGUUGCUACGCAAUGUUGUGAGACGCUUCUGGAUCUUUAGGAAGCCACGAGGUGGCGUGAGUUAGAGAUAGAGUUGCAGUUGAGGGAGCAGCGUCAGGUUCCGGCACAGUCUCAACCGGCACCUAAGCAGUCCAAGACCUUUGAUACUCAGACCGGGGGUCAAUAGAGCCGUACUUGUGGAAAGUGUGGCAGGGGUCAUUUUGGGGUUUGUUGUGCAGGAGGUGGUUGCCACAAAUGUCGCAAGGAGGGGCACUAUGCCAGGGACUAUCGCCAGUCCGCCCCUCCAGCAGAUAUGAGGAUUUGUUACCACUGUCAUCAGGUUGGUCACGUGAAGACCAACUCUUCAUAGCUCGCCGUCAAGCCGGCACAGGGAUCCACAUCGGCUACUUUGAGGAUUGGGGAUGGGAGGCCAGUCAAGGUGGAGCCUCCGAAGGCUCAGGGGCGCGCCUUCCAACUUACGGCCGAGGAGGCCAAGGCAGCACCGAAUGUGGUUGCUAGUAUGUUUCUAUUUUCCAUCUAGGUUAUUAUAUUUGUGGUAUGUUUAUCAGUUGAACCUACGGUUAGGUACGUUUCUAGUAAACUCUUUUCCUGCUUUGGUUCUUUUUGACUCGGGGGCGAGUCGGUCGUUUGUAUCUCAGGCUUUCAGUAGAGAAUUUAGGGUGUCGGUAGAUGAGCUUGAGUGUCCGUUGCCAGUUUCGAUCGCCAACAAACACGGGGUUUCUGCUUCUUCGGUCUACCGGGGAUGUGAGUUGGAGAUUUUCAGGGUAUCCUUCCCGAUAGAUUUGAUUCCUAUCCCCAUGGGGGAAGUAUGUGUGAUCGUAGGGAUGGAUUGGCUCAGUCGGUUUGGCAUUAUGAUCAACUGUGAGGGACAGCGAGUGGUAAUUCGAACCCCAAGUGGGGGAGAAUUGGUGGUGUAUGGUGAGGGCACUAGAGUGGGAGCAGGGUUUUGUUCAGCCGCCAGGGCUCGACAGUUUAUUCAGCACAGGUGUGCCGGCUAUUUAGCGUAUGUGAUGGAUACGCAGAUUGGAGAUCAUGCUUCAGUUUUAGAGGUUCUAGUGGUUAGAGAAUUUCCUGAUGUGUUUCCAGAGGAGUUACCUGGAGUGCGUCUAGAGAGGCAGGUAAAGUUCAGGAUUGAUCUAGUGUCGGGUGUGGCCCNUUCCAGAGAGGCAGGUAAAGUUCAGGAUUGAUCUAGUGUCGGGUGUGGCCCCUAUCGCUAAGGCGUCGUACCCUCUGGCAUCGCCAGAGAUGCAGGAGUUGGCAUCUCAGUUACAUGAGCUGUUGGGUAAGCAUUUCAUUCGCCUGAGUAGUUCUCCUUGGGGAGCACCAAUCCUCUUCGUCUGGAAGAAUGAAGGUUCGCACAGGAUGUGCAUUGACUAUAGGGAGUUGAACAAGUUAACGGUGAAGAACCGUUAUCCACUUCCGAGGAUAUAUGGUCUUUUUGAUCAGUUGCAGGGUGCAUCUUGGUUCUGCAAGAUCGAUUUGAGAUCCGGAUAUCACCAGGUCAGGGUGAGGGAGGAAGACAUGGAGAAGACCGCAUUUCGGACUCGUUAUGGUCAUUACGAGUUCGUGGUGAUACCGUUUGGGCUCUCCAACGCACCGACAGUGUUCAUAGAUUUGAUGAACUGAGUCUGCAGAUCGAUGCUCGAUCGCUCGGUCAUUGUGUUCAUAGAUGAUAUCGUGGUAUAUUCCAAGACUUGAGAGCAGCACGAUGAGCACCUCAGGGAGCUGCUGGAGGUUCUGUGGCGAGAACGGCUGUAUGCCAAGUUCUCGAAGUGUGAGUUUUGGUUACGAGAGGUCCAGUUCCUCGGGCAUCUCGUUAACCAGGAAGGGAUUUUGGUCGACCCAGCCAAAGUAGAUGUGUUUAUGCAGUGGGAGAUUCCGAAAUCUCCCUCAUACAUCAGGGGUUUCUUGGGAUUAGCAGGGUACUGUCGGAGAUUCAUUCGAGAUUUCUCCAAGAUUGCAGUACCCCUCACUAGUCUAACGAGGAAGGGAGUGGAUUUUUGGUGGGGCCCAGAGCAGCAGAGGGCGUUUGAGACCCUCCGAUAGAGUUUAUGCAAGGCGCUAGUAUUGACACUCCCCGAGGGAGUCGAGGAUUUUGUAGUAUUUUGUGAUGCAUCCAUCACAGGUUUGGGGGCAGUCCUCAUGCAGAGGGGACGAGUGAUAGCCUAUGCAUCGCGGCAGCUAAAGCCGCAUGAGACGAGAUACCCUACGCACAAUCUUGAGUUGGGAGUGAUGGUAUUCGCUCUCAAGAUUUGGAGGCAUUAUCUGUACGGGGUCCGAUGUACUAUAUACACGGAUCACAAGAGUUUGAGGCACAUUAUGGAUCAACCGAACCUAAACAUGAGGCAGCGCAUGUGGCUGGAUGCUGUUAAGGACUACGAUUGGGAGAUCCUUUUCCAUCCUGGUAAAGCGAAUGUGGUUGCGGAUGCUUUGAGGCGCAAGUCAGCUGGGUCUUCUACCCCGACGAGGUGUAUGAGGAUAGCGGUGGAUUCCCCGCUUGUGAGCUUGAUUAGGGAUGCUCAGGUUGAGGGAAUGAGACCAGAGAGCUAGAAGUUGGAGAGGAUUAAGGGCGAGAGCGCCCGGUUUGUUCAGGAUAGUUACGGGUUAUUAACCCGACACGGUCGGGGUUAGGUUCCGAUGAACGGAGGGGUCCGACAGACAGUGAUGGAGGCGGUUCAUAAGUCUCACUUUUCUAUACACCCGGGGGCCACCAAGAUGUACCGCGAUCUGAGUUUGAGUUACUGGUGGCCCGGUAUGAAGGGAGAAAUCGCUUGGUUUGUCGAGAGGUCCCUGACUUGUAGGAUGGUCAUGGCCGAGCAUCAGAGGCCACAUGGUAAGUUGCAGCCUCUGGAGAUUCCCAUGUGGAAAUGGGAGCAGAUCAUGAUGGACUUCAUUACGAAGUUGCCAAGAACGGCGAAGGGGUUUGAUGCCAUAUUGGUCAUCGUGGAUCGGUUGACCAAGAGUGCCCAUUUCUUGGCUAUACGGGAGAGUUCGUCGAUUGAGAAAUUGGCUGACAUGUACGUCAGUGAGAUUGUCUCUCGCCAUGGAUUUCUGGUCUCCAUUGUUUCUGAUUGGGAUGUCAGGUUUACUUCCCGUUUUUGGCAGAAGUUCCAUGAGGAACUGGGUAUGUGGUUGUACUUUAGUACAAUGUUACAACCGUAGACCGAUGGACAGAUUGAGCGAAGCAUUCAGACCCUCGAAGAUAUGUUGAGGGCGUGCGUCAUUGAUUUCGGAGGGAGUUGGGAUUCCCACCUGCCGCUUGCAGAGUUUGCCUACAACAACAGCUAUCAUUCCAGUAUUGGCGCCCCGCCUUUUGAGUUGUUGUAUGGUAGAAGAUGUAGAACCCUAGUUUGUUGGGGUGAGAUUGGACACAGAGUGAUGGGUCAGAUAGAGGUAGUCUUGCAGACUACCGAAAAGAUCCAGCAGAUCAGACAACGGCUGCAGACUGCGGCAAAAGAGUUACGCUGAUAGACGCCGAUCAGAUUUGGAGUUUCAGGUUGGUGAUAUGGUACUUCUGAAGGUCUCACCCUAGAAGGGCGUGAUCCGUUUCAGGAAGAGGGGAAAAUUGGGUCCCCGUUAUAUUGGGCCAUUCAGGAUUAUUUCCAGGGUUGGUAAGGUGACUUAUAGGCUAGAGCUACCGGAGGAGCUCAGCCGAAUUCACAGCACGUUCCAUGUUUCUCAAUUGCGAAAGUGCGUUAUGGACCAAGAGGCGAUAGUAUUACUGGAUGGUAUUUAGGUUGAUGAGUGCCUGAAUUACGUGGAGAGUCAUGUGGCCAUCUUGGAGAGGAAGAAGAAAAUUUUACGGAACAAAGAAAUACCUUUGGUGAAGGUGUAGUGGGAACAUCGGAGGGGAUCCGAGUGGACAUGGGAGCCGGAGGCGGAGAUGCACAAGCAUUACCCGACAUUGUUUGCUCCAGCAAACUUCGAUGGCGAAGUCUAGUUCAAGUGGGGGAGAAUUGUAACAUCAUGAUUCCCAAGUAUGGGUUUAAAUAAAAGCUAUUUGGUUUUGAGACCUACUUGACGAGUUUGUUGCAUUCUCGUCGAGUAGUAACGAGGUAGGAUCGUGUAUUUAGUGGCCUACUCGCCGAGUCCAUAAAGGGACUCGACAAGUAGGAGCUGGUAGAUGAAACCCUAAAUAUCAGGGUUUUGCACCCUAUUUAAAGAGGCAUAAGCCCCCUUUAGCCUCUUUGUAGUUCAUUGAGAAACCUUAAUUCGUGUGGUGUUCAUCCUUGUGUGUCUUGAGCUUUAGAGAGGAGUUUUUGGGAAGGAAGAGCUUGGAGGACAAGAGAUUAAAAGCAAGGAAGAUGUGGGAAUCAGAAAUCUACCUCAGUUGGCAUCAUUUGAAGGUAUCAAGUCACCACCUUUACUUCAUUUUCCUCCUAGACCUCAUUUGGUUAAGAUUUAGGGCUUUUAUCGCAUAUUUGAGAUAAUAAUGUGGAGUAUGAGCUAGAUCUGAAGUUGUAACUUCGGAUCUGGACCUUUAUUGGGUUCGAGAGUCAGAAAGCUAUGGACUUGGCCAUUUAUGAAACCUUCCUUGAGUAUGAAACCACAUUGUAGGCUUGGAUUUGUCAUUUAGAGCCUUUGUAGCCAUGCAUGCACGUAAAGUUUGCAACUUUACGUGAAAUACAUGCCUUAGAAGCUUGGAUCUGUAAUUUGGAGUCACUGCAUGGCUUAAAAAGAGUUUGUAUGGCUUAUGGAUUGAAGGAGCUCAGCAAGUCGCAAGGUCGACUCGGCGAGUCAUAUGAAGAUAGACCUGGACUCGACAAGUUGGAUGAACAACUCGGCGAGUCCGAUGAAGAUUGCCAACGAACUCGACGAGCGGUAUGAACAAAUCGGCGAGUCGGAUGAGUUUUCCCCGAUUUAGGUAUGCAUGUGUAACCGUCGAGUUGCAAGAAGGAAACCUGACGAGUGGCCUUAGAGUUCAAUCGUAAACCAAAGGAACUCGACGAGUCACUCCGUGACUCGGUGAGUGGGCAAGUACUUCAAGGAACUCGGUGAGUAGCCGAGGGUACUCGGCGAGUUAGGGUCAACAUGGACUGUUGACCUUGAUUGAUGACCUUGAUUUUGACCAGGGUUUGAUUAGUGGCGUUUGGGAUACCCUGAAAGGUUGGGAACUUAUGGUUAUAAUUAUAUUAUGGUAAUAGGUGGUGGAGCUUUGUCAGUGAUCCGAGAGUUGGAGUUCAUCUACGGAGUCGAUAUCUGCAAGGUGAGUUAUCCUCACUAUAUCAAUAGGGUCUAAGGCACCAAGGCCGACCCUUUAGUUGUUAUUGUUAUGGGAUGCUACCUACGGUUAUGAUUUGUUAUAUCAGAAUCAGGAUACACAGUAUGUUAUGCUCUUAUGAUCCGUAGGGAUUGUUAUGAUAGUGACCUGCUAGGUCGAUGCUCUAUUUAUGAUAGAUUGCUAUGAUUGAUGAUCAGUGAGAUAGAUAUGUAUGUGUUUAUAUAUUCCAGUACAUGCUAGUUAUGCACACAAGGUUAUUUGAUUGUUGUUUGGGUUGAGGCAGUCCCGCUUUGUGCUGAAGGCCAGCACACCCUAUGAGCGGUCCGGGGAGACUGUAGGCCCACGUGGCGGUUCAAUUAUGCCGAAGGCUCGGGAUAAAUUCAGUUUGAUUGUAGGCCCUGCAGGGCGGUCCAGUCAGGCCGAUGGCCCAGUAUGCAUGUUAUUGAUUGUCUAUUAUUAAUAUGGUAUUAUCGGUGUGGUGUUGGUAUUUUGGGGGUAGCUCACUAAGCCCUUGGGCUUACAGUUUCAGUUUAUUUUUUUAGGUACUUCAGAAGAUCAUGGCAAGACGAAGGCGUGACCGUACCGCUCCUCAUCCUUUUGAUCUAGUUAUUGGGACACUCUGAUGAAUAAUGAUUUGAAAACCUUUUGUAAAUAAAUACUAUUUGGUUUUAUCUAUGAUUGAAAAAGUUUAUAUUUGGCGUAAAAUUUUUGGAUGUUACACGUAAAAUGAUAGUGUUGGUUUUAGGAAAUCCAAUAUUUUCUAUAAAACGAGUUGUAGUCUUAUAUGUUCCAAGACCGAAAUGCAUAGUUAUUUUGCAUACUUAAAAUACUGUAUGUAGUUUUUAUACGUAUAUAAAAACCAUUUAAGUGUUUGUUUGCCCCAUAAACCAAAAUGUGUUGUUAAUACCCAAUGCGAGUUAUUAUAACCAUGCUAGCGACUAGUUGGCCUAUAACGUCACUCUUCAGGCGUCGGAAUGUUAUGAAAUUUGUCACCCCAGACCUGCCGGUCUAACUACAGCUAAUAGCUAAGGUGUGGAAUUAUCAGUCCCGUAUAGAUCUAUACACAAGUAUCAUGCUCUCCCUACAAGAGAUUUUGGUUACAAUUACAGGACUUUAUGCAACACUUUAAAAUGUACUGUGAAGCCGAAUGUUUCACAAAUUUAUUCAUUAAUCGGUUUACGUCAAAUGAAAUAAAAAGCUCAUUGUUCUUGUAAAUGUAUGUAUCUCCCUUUGAUAGUGUUUAUGCAAUGUGAAAAAUAAUUAUAUUUUUAUAUAAUUAUUUCUUUUUUCCCGAAAGGUUAAAAUAACGUGAGUGUUCCAUAAACUAUAUUUAUUAUAUUUUUAACAAUGUAUGUUCCGUCGAAAUGAUAACCUUUGUGUUUUAACAACUUUUGCAUGUAAAGUUUAUAUGUUUGGUAGUAACAUUGUUCCACGUAAUUAACAUUUUCACUUGAAACGUUUAUAAAAUAUAAGAAAACAUAAGUAACUGUUUGCAUUUUAACACAAUUUUUGUUGUGUUUCAUUUGUAUCCCCCCCCCCCUCCUAAAAUAUAGAAAAAGGUGUGAAAAAUGUGGGAGUAUGAACUCACCUCUAGUGUGAUCACGGUCUGAUAAUGAGGUAAAAAUAGUGAUCUUCGAGUCUAGAAUACGUAAAGGAUGUCGUAUCCUAAUGGUUUUAAACACAUAACAAUGUGUGAAUAUAUGAACUAAUGGUUAAAGUGUUGAAUAAUACUUAGGUUUUAUGAGGAAUUCAUACCUUAAAUUCUUAUAAACUAUCUUGGAAGAAAGGCUCCUGGAGAUAAUUGAUCUUGAGUUGGUAUGGAAAAUGGGUUUGAGUAAAGAGAAAUAUGGGACUGAAAUGUUUACUGGUGAAUGAAUUCAUGUGUGUCUAUAUAUANNNNNNNNNNNNNNNNNNNNNNNNNNNNNNNNNNNNNNNNNNNNNNNNNUAUAUAUAUAUAUAUACAUAUGAAAGAAGGAUAAGAUGAGGUAAAUGAGAAAUGAUAGUGAGUUGAUGUUUACAUUGGUAAGUGCACUUAUCACCUUAGGAAGGCAUUUUAACAAAUCAAGUGGCACCACUUGGCCACCUUUAUGGUGAUUUUGGCCAUGCCAUGACCAAAUCACCAUGAUUUCAGUUUUGGUGUGGUCCCAUGGCUUGAGUUUUCUGCCUUAGUGGUCCAUAGGUUAGUGGUUUCGGCCCUAGUGGUCCAAAGCUUUGUGAUUUCGGUCCACACAUAAGAUCUUUGGUCCCUAGAAAACCGAAAUCCCAAUGUGUUUUGAUUCCAAAAACUGAUAUCACUAUGGUGAGGUGUAGUUCAUGCCUUUUGACUUAUUUCUUUAUCUUGUGUUGACUUGUAUUAACUUAUUUCAACAUGGGUUUUCGACAUACACAUAUAUAUAAAAUUAUAUAAGCAUGGUUUAUAUAUAUAUAUAUAUAUAUAUAUAUAUACACACACACACACACACACACAUAGAGGUGGGUUCAAUUGAGAAAAUAAAAAAGGUUGAGAAUGGGGGAAUCAUUCUCAGCCACUCAUUUAAUCUAAGCAUAAAAAGACACAGUGGCAAACUUGUAAAUAUGAUAUAAUAGCCUUCAAUUACAAAUACGUAAGUGUAGAGAAUUAGAUAACAGUUGAAAUUUAUUCUAAUCGAUCAUUAUCAUCCAAAUUUCUCCUCCAACCUUCAACAAUCAUCCAGAUUUCUUCAAUUAAAUCAUCGAUCAACGUCAUCAUGUGUUAAUCAAUCAUCGAUCUUCGUCUAUAACACGGUUAUCAACACCAUUCAACAGUUGACAACAAAAAUUCGUUUUUUGCUCUUUCAAUCCAACCUUCAAUUCUGCUUGAAUACGAGCAUAUCUUCAACAUCUAUGAUUAAUUAUACUUCCAGCAUCAUUAGAUCAACAAAAAAUUCAAUUUGUAUCAUUCAUUCAACAUCGAUCAUCAAAUAAAACAUCAAAAUUAAGGUUAGAAAAAGAUCAAAUCAUUUUUGGUUUGAAAAUUUUCAUAUAUUUCUCUACCAAUCUACUAUUUUGUAAGAUUUAAAUAGUCAAAGUAUCAUAUUUAUCGCAUUUUUAACAAAGUUAACUUGUAUGCACUCCAACUGUUUGAUGAAAUGCAUAAACUAAAUUACCACGUUAUAUUCAUAUAUGAAUAUGUUUUCUCACCUGAAUCAAUAUGUGAUUAUUAAAACACAAAACAAAUAUGCAAGUCUGUAUGUUAUUCAUAUGUGAAUAACAUAUAAAAAUUAUAUAUAUUUCUGAAAACACCUUGUAAUAUUCAUAUAUGAAUAUACUGUGCAAUACUCACAUAUGAAUAUACUAUGCAAUAUUCACAUAUGAAUAUACCAAGUAUUAUUCAUAAGUGAAUAUACGAUCGAAUAUUCACAAAUGAAUAUACUAUGUAUUAUUCUCAUGUGAUAUACCAUGUAAUACUAUAUAAUAUUCACAUAUGAAAAUAUCAUCUAAUAUUCAUAAGUGAAUAUACCAUCUAACAUUCACAAGUGAAUAUACUAUGUAAUAUUCACAAUUGAAUGCAUCGUCUAAUAUUUAAAUAUGAAUAUACUAUGUUUAGUAUAUGUUAUAUUCAUAUAUGAAUGAUACUUAAAUUGUAAAAAAAUUAAUCAUAGUUUUUAUUCAUAAGUGAAUAACGAAUGUACUGUAGUAAAAACCUGAUUCAUUUUUAUUCACUUAUGAAUAACGAUAGCUGAAAAUAUAAAAAAAAAAAAUUUAUUUUAUCUUCAACCUAUAUAAAUAUGAUGUCUAUUUGUAGAGAAUAAAAAAUCGUUAAUUUUGGUAUAUUUAAAAUCAUUUUUCGAUAAAAAUAGCUUCUUAAAAGUUAAAAAAACGAUGUUUUUGUAUAUAUUAAGGUAAUGAUUAACAUAGUUUAAGUAAAUAUGGUUUGUUGGAAAACACAUGUGCAUUCCUUUCCCAUUUCCGCCGGUACGUUGGAGACUUUUGCGACAAAAAUAAAUGAUUGGCUGAGAAUGAGUCCCCCAUUCUCAACCUUUUUUUCUCAAUUGAACCCUCCUUUAUAUACAUAUAAACAUACCCUCGUGGCUAAUGGUGAUUUAAUGUCACAAGGUUACAAUGUUGUUUUCACUUAUACAUAGCACAUCUUUUGACUUGGUUUGGCUCUAAGUUUGCCAGUUGUCACAUCAUCCCCCCAUUAGAGGGAAUUUCGUCCCGAAAUUAGAGUUUUGAGUGGGAGAUCAAGUAUUGGGGAAAAUAUGUGGGUACUCUUAUUUGAUUUUAUCUUCCUUUUCCCAUGUGUAUUCAUGUCCCCGCUUGGCAUUCCAACGGACCUUCACUAUUGGUAUGCGACUAUGUUUCGUUCACUUAACCUCCAUGUCCAUGAUUUCCACCGGUUCUUCUACGAAGUGUAGACUCUCCUUUACUUUGAUUUCAUCGAGUGGGAUUAUAAGAGUCUCAUCGGACAGACACUUUUUCAGACUAGAGAUGAAGAAGGUAGGGUGUACGUUAUUGAGUUCCUGUGGUAGUCGGAGUUUAUAAGCUACCGGACCAAUCCUUGUAAGGAUCUCAAAUGGUCCAAUGUACCUUGAAUUUAGUUUCCCAUGUUUUCGAAAACACACCAUUUCCUUUCCAUGGUGAGACCUUUAACAGAACAUGGUCGCCAACCUGGAAUUCCAAGGGUUUGCUUCGCUUAUCUGCAUAGCUCUUUUGUGGAUCUCGAGAUGCUCUCAGUCUUUCUCAAAUUUGGACGAUCUUGUCUGUUUUUUCCCUUAUGAUCUUAGGGUCGGUGAGAGUGCUGUCAGGAACUUGCCCCCUUGUUAGUUGCGUGUCACCCACUUUAGCCCAACACAGAGGUGAUCUGCACUUGGGCUAUAGAGUGCUUCAAAUGGAGAAAAUCUGAUGCUAGUAUGAUAGCUAUUGUUGUAUAAGAACUCGAUGAGGGGUAAAUGGGUAUCCCAAGCUUUACCAAAGUCUAUCAUGCAAGCUCUCAACAUAUCCUCUAAUGUUUGGAUAGUUCUUUCGCUCUGCCCAUCGGUCUAUGGGUGGUAGGCCGUACUCAUGUCCAACCUAAUUCCCAUGGAUUUUUGUAGUGACUGCCAAAACUAUGAGGUGAAUCUACUAUCCUUGUCAGAGAUAAUGGAUAUUGGCACUCCAUGCAAUCGCAACGAUCUCUUUAAUGUAUGUCCUGGUCAGUUUCUCCAUCUUGUCCAUCUCUUUUAUUGGUAGGAAGUGUGCGUAUUUGGUCAACCUAACGAUGAUCACCCAGAUGAUGUUAAGUCCACCCAUCAUCUUCGGUAACUUGGUUAUGAAUUCCAUGGUUAUUUGUUCCCACUUCCACUUGGGUAUCUCUGGUUGCUGCAGCAAACCUGAGGGCUUCUGAUAUUUUACCAUAACCUUGGCGCAAGUCAGGCACUUUCCCACAUAGGUAAUGAUUUCGGAUUUCAUGCUCAGCUACCAAUAAAGUUUCUUGAGGUCCAGGUACAUCUUGUCUGAAUCGUGGUGAAUGCAGUAUCGAUUCUUGUGAGCCUCGUUCAUGACAACAUCUCUGAAUCCCCCAAACUUCGGUGUACAGAUCCGAUUCAUGAGAUAACGAACUCCAUCACUCUUGACUUCUACAUUUUUAUCCAUCCCACUUAAGGAUUCACCUAUGACAUUUUCUGCUUUCAAGGCUUCCAGCUAAGCCUCUUUGAUCUGCAUGGAUAUGUGUGAAUGGAUAGUCAUGAUUAAUGAUUUUACUCGGCUAUUCCUUUUGGACCAUGGCAUUUGCUACUACACUGGCUUUACCUGGAUGAUAACGAAUCUCACAUUUGAAAUCAUUUAGGAGUUCUACCCAUCUCCUUUGCCUUAUGUUGAGCUCUUUUUGGUUGAGGAUGUGUUGGGGGCUUUUUUGAUCGGUGAAUAUAGUGCAUUUUGUAUCAUAAAGGUAGUGUCUCCAGAUCUUCAGGGUGAACACCACUGCUCCCAGUUUAAAUUCAUGUGUUGUGUAGUUAACCUCGUGAGCCUUUAGCUGCCUCAAGGCAUAGGCAAUGACAUUUCCUCGUUGCAUAAGCACACACCCAAGGCCCUGGUUUGAUGCAUCACAAUAAACCACAAAGUCUUACGUUCCCUCUGGAAGGGAAAAGAUCGGAGCACUGCAUAGAGCGUGUUUCAGUGUUUGGAAGGCAACCUCUUGUUUAUCACCCAGAUGAAUGUCGCUCAUUUCUGAGUCAAGGUGAUGAGUAUUUUAGCGAUCUUCGAGAAGUUUUGUAUGAACCUUCGGUAGUAGCCAGCGAGGCCUAAGAAUUGACAGAUUUCAAUAGGUGUCCUUGGUGCUGCCCAGCUUUCAAUUGCCUUCAUCUUGGACGAGUCCACAUGUAUUACCUCUUUAUUGACCACAUGACUUAAGAAAUCCACCUCUCGGAUCCAAAAUUCACAUUUGGAAAACUUGACAUAUAGCUUUUCCGUCCUCAAUGUCUCCAGGACUUGUCGCAGGUGUUGACUGUGAUCUUCCUUACUUCAUGAAUAGAUUAAUAUUUCAUCGAUGAAUAUUGUCACAAAUUUAUCUAAGUAGCAUCGGCAUACCCGAUUCAUCAGGUCCAUGAACACAGUUGGUACAUUUGUGAAAGAGAGGCGGAUCACCACGAACUCGUAGUGACCAUAGCGGGUUUGAAAUGUUGUUUUUGGAAUAUCUUCCUCCUAGACUCCUAGAUGGUGGUAUACCAACCUCAGAUCCAUUUUUGAGAACCAGCUUGCUCACUGAAGUUGGUCUAACAGGUCGUCAAUUCGGGGUAGGGGAUAUCGGUUCUUGAUGGUAAGUUUAUUCAGCUCCUGCUUCUUAUCUACCACAUCAGCUAGAAACGCGUUGUAUUCCUUGCGUAGGUACUUUUGGGCUUUGACGCAAGAGAUGAUUUGUAGCUUUGCAUCGGGUUUGUCACCACAAAUGACAAGGGUUUCGUUACUUGGAAGAUUGCCUUUUCAUAGCACAUGAUAUUGGCGUGGUAAAGACUUAACCAAUACAUGCCAAUAAUGACAUCAAAGCAUCUUAUAGUGAUUGGCAUUAGAUCGAUUUUGAAGGAAUGUUCAUUUAGUGUUGGGGUGCAUCCUAUCUACAUGUCCUUAGUGCUUUCUAUUUUACCGUUUUCCAUUUCUAUUGCAAAAUUUCAUUGAGUGAUUGUGGUUUUUCAUUGAGUAUAUGUUUAAAUUUGAAGGUUAAACGAGAAAGUCAAAGUUUAAAGUCAAAGGUCAAACAUGAAAGUCAAAGUCAAAAUUUUAGGUCAAAAGUAAAAAAUGAUAGUAAAAAAUUAAAAGUCAAAGCUUUGGGUUGAAAAUGAAACUUUAAAAUUUGAAUAUUAGACUUUUGGGCUAAAAUUGUCAAAAUUACGAAACUGCACCGAAAAUACGAUAUUAGAAUUAAAUCGGGAAGAAAUAUGACAUGAGGUUUGCUAGAUGGAUUGCUAAGGCGUGGGUUGUGUAUACACAUGACCCAGGUUCGAAUCUUGCUACAAACCGGAUUUUUAAUUUAUUCGUUGUUGGCCACGAUGCGAAGGCUGGAUCCAAAGUGCCGAGGAACCCUAAUCCAAGAUUUCGGCUGCUGCCGUGAGGACCGAGGUCUGACCGAAAACGUGAAACCCUAGCCGGAAACGACUUUGAAACCCUAGACGUAAACGAGUUUUUGGCUGCAAACUUUAGCCGUAAAUGAGUUUUCGGCUGCAAACACUAGCUGCAAACGUGUUUCCGGCCGAAAACCGCCGCCAGACCUUUGCAAAUUAUGUCAAAAAAACGCGAUUUUCAACAUUUUUAGCUCCAAAACGCGUCAAAAACUCAUUUUUAUGAAAAACACGAAGAACAACCCCCCAAUACUUUGUAAAAAACUAUCCAAAAACAUAAAAUCCUUCAAGAAAAAGUGCAAAAAUGCUCCAGAUCUUGCUAAAGAGAUUGAUACAAUCCGAGCUUUGAUACCAACUAUAAGUCCUAAAUUUUGCUUGAUGUAUCAAUCAAAUCCACUUGAUGGUGUGGAAUCCCAAUCAAGUGGAUGAUGCAAGAUCAAAUGGAGAAGAAUGAGAAGAAGAUGAUGUGAAUCUAUGAUGUAUUGAUGAUAAGAUUGAUGCUCCAACACAAGAUUCACAUACACGAACUCUUCUUCUCUCUAACUUUCUCUCUCUACAACUUGNCCGCAAACUCAAGACCCAAACCAAGUGCUAGACCAAAAACACAUGGGUUUUCAGUCCAAGCUACAAAUAAACUAAAUAUUAUUUUCGACCCAAAACUAAAAAUAAUAAAUGCUUAGAAAAGCAAAGUAUAAACCAUAUUUUUGACCCAAGAAGGCAACACAGGUGGCAGGACGUACUCAAGGAUUAUAACUGCAAGAUCCUUUACCAUCCGGGUAAAGCAAACGUGGUGGUAGACGCCCUGAGCGAUAAGUCGGCUGGACCUUCUGUUGAGGUGGCGUUUAUGAGGAUACCCAUGGAUUCUCUACUUGUGGGUUUGAUUAGGGAAUCUCAGACUGAGGGUGUCCAAGAGUAGAAUUGAACGAUUGAGAGGAUCAGAUGAGAUCACCAUAUUUGUAUCGGACAGUCAUGGAUUGAUGACCCAUUAUAGACGGGUGUCGGUUCCUGUGUCUGGUGGGGUCAGAGAGAUUGUGUUGGAGUAGGAUCAUAAGUCUCGUUUUUCUAUCCAUCUGGGGGCCUCCAAGAUGUAUCGUGAUCUAAGAUUGAGUUAUUGGUGGCCGUUCAUGAAGAGAGAGAUCUUUUGGUAUAGUGAGAGGUGCUUGACCUGGAGGAUGGUCGUAGCCGAGCAUCAGAGGCCGCAUGCCAAGCUGCAGCCCCUGGAGGUUCCCAUAUGGAAAUGGGAGCAGAUUUCUAUGGAUUUGAUCACCAAGUUGCCGAAGACGACAUGGGGUUUUGGUGCUACUUGGCUCAUCGUGGAUCGAUUGACCAAGAGUGCCCAUUUUUCGGAAAUUCAGGAGAGUUCGUCAACCGAGAAGUUGGCCGAUGUGUACCCACGAGAUCGUUACUCGCCAUGGGGUUCCUGUCUCUAUUGUCUCAGACCGUGAUGUUUAGUUCACCUCCUAUUUUUGGCAGAAGUUACAUGAGGAACUGGGCACGAUGCUGCAUUUUAGCACAUCAUAUCAUCCGCAGACCGACGGCCAGAGUGAGCGGACCAUUCAAACUCUUGAGGAUAUGUUGCAUGCUUGUGUUAUUGAUUUUGGUGGGAGCUGGGAUUCUUACCUACAUCUUGCAGAGUUCUCCUACAACAACAGUUUCCACUCCAGUAUUAGUGCCCCGCCUUUUAAGCUUCUGUAUGGACAGAGAUGUCGUACCCCAGUCUGUUGGGGAAAGGUUGGCCACAAGCUCAUGGAUCGGACCGAGGUGGUUCUGCAGACUAUGAAGAUGAUUCGACAGAUCAGGAAGCGAUUGCAGACUACUCAGAGUCGACAGAAGAGUUCUACCGACCGGCACCGAUCCGAGUUGGAGUUUCAGGUCGGUGACAUGGUGUUAGUGAAGGUCUCACCUUGGGAAGGUGUGAUUUUAUCAGGAAGAGGGGGAAGUUAGGCCCCUGAUUUAUUGGAACAUUCCGGGUUAUUUCCAGGGUUGGCAAGGUUUCUUAUUGGUUGAAUCUCCCAGAGGAGUUGAGUCAGAUCCAUAGCACUUUGCACGUAUCGCAGUUGCGGAAGUAUGUUUUGGACGAGGAUGCAGUGCUAUCAUUGCAUGAUAUUUAGGUGGAUGAGUGCCUGAACUAUGAAAAGAGGCUGGUAGCUAUUCUAGAAAGGAAGGUGAAGAUUCUGCAUAGCAAGGAGAUACCUUUGGUAAAGGUAUAGUGGCAGCAUCGGACGGGAUCCGAGUGGACCUAGGAGCCGGAGGCUGAGAUGCGGGAGUAUUAUCCGAAUUUGUUUACAGUAACAGUCUUCGUGGAGGAAGUAUAGUUCGACGGGGGGAGAUUUGUAACAUCCUUUGAUUCCAGGUAUUUUCAAAUCCUUCCCUCAGUAAUUAAUACAUCAUGUUGGUCUUUAAAUUUGGUGGAAUUUAGCCCUAAGAGGCCUGAGGGGCAAAUUGGUAAUUUUGGUCAGAGGGGGAGUACGCUAGGUGUACAUAUGAGUACGGUAGACAUACUAGGUCGCGCCCUAUUACGCAGGUCAUACAUAUAUUUACGCAGGGCAUACUUAUGUCCGAGUGCAACCCUAACUUUUAGAGUUUGUUGGGUAUUUAAACCCCAUUAUGGACCCUUUACCCCCAUCCUUUCAGCCUCCAAGUCCUGAGAUCAUUUUUGGCAAACCCUAGCUUCUCUUUGGUGUGUGCGUGAGAGCUAAGAGUGUGUUUCUUUUGUGGUUGAAGAAGAAUAAGUUGCAUCAAGGUGUUUGGAGAGCGAAGUAAGCUUGUAGAUCUGGGAUCAUCUUGUCAUUUAGAAGCUCCAAAAGGUAAAAAGCUUAUGCCUUUGUGAUUAUAUUGUUUAGAUCUUGUUUUGAUAGCUUUUUGGAGCUCUUCUUGUCCCAAAAGUCCCAAAGUUGUCCAUGAUUUGUGUCAAACGUUUUGAGCUGUCCUUUCAGAUCCUAAGAAGGGCUCUAAGUUAUAAAAAUGAGUUCCUUUGGCUAUUUUGGCUUCAUGUUGCUUAUCGGAGGUCUUAAUGGAUUAAGACCAUGUAUUAAGGACUUUUUAGACGUCCAAAUUCUUAAAGUUUGAGACUUUGUGGUUCUGAGAUACAUUUAGUCGUUGGAUCUGGAAAUUGGGCUUAAUUGCUUAAUCCGUUAAGCACUUAUUAGAGUUUUGAACUCUACGAGGGUACACUCCGCUUACAGGAGAGUGUACGUAGUCAACGCCCCCGUUUGCAAUCAAUGUGAGGCUCGCAUAUGCCCUGUGUAGCCUCAGUAUACGCCCAACGUACAUCUUUUGAUGGGCCUUUGCGAGUUGAGCUGCGGUUUUGGGCCAUCUUUGGGCCAGCACGUCUUGGGCCCUUGUUGGACUUUCUGAGUUUGAGUGUUGGGCCAGUUAGAAAUUUGGACCUUAGGAUAAGUUCGAAUAAAGAGUUGGGCCUAAUUUGGAAAAUUAGGCCAAUUAUGGGGCUUGCAUAUUUUGGACCUUUUGGAUCAAGGUUGGACAUGGGUUUGACCUAGUUAAUGAAGUGUUAAUGGAUAAUUAUGAGUUAAGGAAUUUGAGGUGAUAAUCCAAUUAUUAAUUAGAGGUUUAUUUAUUAUGAUUGUUCGAGAUUUUCAUGGGCUAGUGGUCGGGGGUUCUGUUUAAUACAUUAGUGAGGUGAGUUCUCCUCACUAUACUAACAUGGUCGAAGGCACCAAGGCCAACCCUUUGGAUUGUAUCCUAGUUUAUCAUAUGAUGCUAUGUGUAGUGAUCUGUUAGAUCUAUGUCCUAGCAUAUAGGAUAAUGCUAUGAUUGAUGAUUGGUUAGGCUUGUAUGAUUAUUGUAUGUGCUAGCUAUCGUUUGAUAUUUAUGUAAUGUUGUGUGAUGACGGGUGGUUUGAGGCGGUCCUAUUGUGUGCGGAAGGCUAACAGUCCCAGGGUAACCCGGAUAGACUGAAGGUCUAGUGGGGCGUACCAGUCAAGCCGAAGGCCCUGAGAACGGUCCUGAUAGGCUGAAGACCCGGUGAGGUGGUCCAGUCAUGCUGAAGGUCUUGUGAGCUGUCCAGAUAGGCUGAAGGCCUGGUGCGGUGGUCCAGUUAGGCUGAAGCUCUAUAUGCAUACUGUUUGUUAAUGAUAUUAUUCUGGUUUGUAUUGUGUUGGUAUUUUGGGGGAACUCACUAAGCUUUGGUCUUUCGGUUUUGUAUUUAUUUUUCAGGUACCUCUAAUGAUCACGAAAAGGAAAAGGCUUGAUCGUGCACCUCCUCACAUGUUGUGUUAUGAUUUUUAGGACUUCUAUGAAGUUAAACUAUUUUGAAAACAAUUUGUAAUAACUGGUCAUUUUUGGUAUUUUGAAAAGUUAAGAAAUUUUAUGAAUUUUAAGGGUGUUACAAUUUUUAAUAGGGAAAUAAACUAAAACUAAUAAAAAAGUAUAUAAAAUUAAAGUACAAAAUAUUAAAAAUAUACAAACUAACUAAAGACAUACAAAUUUGUUUUGGUACAAGAUUUGAUGCACAACAUACAAAUAAAUCAUAACAUGAUGAGAGAGAGAGAGAGAGAGUCUACAGAGAUACAUUUUCAGCGGGUUGGGUAACCCGCUAAAUCCUCUAAACAAGUGGCACCACGGGGGAAGGAUCCCUCAUCUUUGAGGUAUCCUCGGUAUCUCCUACCCAAACCAAAAUAAUACGACACUCUAUCCUCCCUUAGAGUUUUGAAAGCGACUAAAAAUAAAUUACAACAAACCAUGUUAAACAUCAAGCUCAAAAAAAUGUCCACCUAUAACAAAUUACACCUAAAAUCUAAAAGUCCAAAAACAAACAUUGUGGAAACAGACCCUAAAGCUUGUAAUACAUUAUUGAUGGGCGACAAGGUAGCUGUGUGAAGAAGGUAACAGAGGAGAAUUGGUGAAGGUUGGAGUUGUAGAGUAUGCCAAAGAAAGGGAGCAGAUAAAAUGAGCAACAGGCAUUUUAUCAAUUCAAAAAUGAAAAUAUACAUCGAAGUAGGGUUGCAAUUUAGGAUAUCAAAAAGUUAUAAGUAUAUUGGUGUGUGGGUGGGGGGUUGUAGAUUGGGUAGAGCAGAAAUAUAAAUUUAGGCUAGCCAGAUUGAAAAUUUGGGCAGUGGGAAUGAAAUUAAAAUAUAAGAGGUUAUUAUUGAAACCACUCAAAAUAACGUGUGUGUGUUUAUGUAUUUAUAUUCAAGAUAGCAACAGAUUAUACAAGAUACACUCCUAUAGAAAAGGAGUUGAUAAAUACAAUAAUAUAAUCCUUAAUUAUCUAAUAACCCCCUCAAGCAAAAGGGUGGUGGACCGAGACGAAGGAUAGAACGAAAUUGUUCAAAUUGAGGUCGUAGAAGACUCUUGGUGCAAAUGUCAGCCACCUGAAGCUUGGGUGGGAUGAACUUGGUAUAGAGUUUACUAGAGGAAACAAGUUCACAGACAAAAUAAUAAACGAGAUCAAUAUGUUUUGCACGCUUGUUUGGACUGGAUUUUGUGUCAUAAAUAAAGCACUUUUGUUAUCACAUAGCAAAGUUGGUCUAUCAGGUGGCAAAAUGUGUAAUUCCCGUAAGAGAUGAGUGAUCCAAACAAUAUUGGUUGUCGUGUUAGCCAUCGCUCGAUAUUCGGAUUCACAACUAGAUCUAGAUACAGUUGUGUAACACAGGAAUUUUCAAACCAAUUUUUCCAUUUUUAAUUUCAUAAAACACAUGUCAUUUUAAAUAAACACCAUUUAAUAGUCAACAAAGUUUUCAAAACAUUAUCAAAAUCCAGGAUCCUCAUUCAUGACUCUUUUCUCUUACUUGUACAAUCGAGUCGCAGCAUUCCCGCGAUCCUAAUAAGAACCUAAAACACAUAACACAUAACACGGUAAGCACGAAGCUUAGUGAAUUUCCCGAAAAUACCACGCACAAGUAAUUAGCCACUCGAGGCUAUAACUCGGUAAGACCCUCCGGUAAAUGUGUCUCAGUGGAACCCUCCAGUCCCACAGCUCGUUGGACCCACUGGUCCAGUCUAGGUGAGAACCCUCCGGUCUCACUGUUUGUUAGACCCUCCAGUCCGGUCUAAGUGAGGACCCUCCGGUCUCAUAAUUCGUUGGACCCUCCGGUCCUGUCUAAAUAUCACAUAAUAUAACACACAACACAUAUCACAUAGAAAAUGUACAACUCAAGCAAGCACAUACGACCCUCUGGUCACACAUAACUACCACUCUUGGUAAAGUAUAGUGAGAAGACUCGCCUCGGUUGACAAACAACCCCUAUAACGCUAUUUCGACACACCGGCCACUAACUCUGUGCCAAACUCACAAUUAUCUCAAUUAGAACUAAGUCCAAACUCUCACUCAUUGGGUCUAGAGGUUGAUCAAUAACCGACUCAUCACUGCCCUAAACUCAUUGGGCCCACCAAGGCCCAAUAAUAAAUGGGCCCUCUCAAGGCCCAAUUCUCAAACUAAAUGGCAGGGCCUACAUUAGAUAAACCCCCCAAGACCACUAAAGGCCCACUUUGCUAAACUGGGCCUACUCCCUCCAAUGGGCCUCACCCUAAGCCUAAAUAUAUACUUGGCCCAUAACUUCAUACUAUUGAUAGCCCAAUAGCUCAAGGCAUGGCCCAUAGGAUGGCCCAAAAUACAAAGUAUAACACAGACAAGUUAUGCGGGCGUACACCUGUGAACGCCAAGUGUACCGACUCGCUGGAAAGUACGCUGGGCGUACCUACACGUAUGCUCAGCAUAACCUUCCUGAUAAGCCCUUUUUCCAUUAAGUGCUUAUUAGUUCAUUCCAGAGGCUACAAACUCAGAUCCAGGUCCUUAUCAUCCUCUUAAUCCUUAAAGUCAUAAUCUUGGUGACUUGCAAUCCACCAAAUAAGCUCAAACUCAAAAGGCAACAACAUACUUCCAUAACAAGAGCUAGAUAUCAUGCAUGAACUCAUUAGGACCACCAAGAUUGAAACUUUACUGUUUAAGGGACCCUUUUAGCUCUGAGGGUGGCAACCCUAAGCUCAAAAAUGAGAUUCCAACAUAAUUAAAGGUCCAAACUUGGGACCAAAACAACUCCAAAACUUCACUACACAAGAUCUGUGCAUUCUUAAAUAAAGUUAUGAACUUUAUACCUCAAAAGAGUUCCAAAUGAUGAUGUUAUUCCAGAUCCAUGAGCUCCAAACUCCCAAGUUCUUCCUGGCCAACUUCCUCUUUUGCAAAUCCCAAGCUUACACCACCAAAUGAAUCUCUUGAAGACCAAAUCUCCCAAAAGGAAGAAGAUAUAAGGCGUUCAAGAGCUUCUCUGAGGUUGGGGAACAAACAUGGAGGCUAGGGUUUGAACCAUAAUGUUCUAUAUAUAGUGGCACACCCUACAUUUAGGGUUUAUGGACUCUGGACGUACGCUGGGCAUACGCCAAGGAGCACCCGCGACCAUUUCUCUUAUACGUUGGGCGUAAUCAUCCUUACGUUGGGCGUACCCACGCGCUUCCAUUUCACAUGCACGGCCUUUCAUGCCAACCUUUCACCUUAAGGGACCAUUUAUGUCGAAAACCUCCAAGUGUAAUAUCUUCCUCACCUGAUGUUCGUUUUCGGUGAACUUUAUAUCCACGAAAAGGUAACGAGAAGCUCUACACUUCUAUUAACUUUAUAUAUCCUAGAGCCCACUCAAGCUCAGAUCCAAAAUUUAUGAAAAGCCCAAACCAACACUUGUCGAUACCCUUAGGACCUAAAGCACAAACCGAACCAUUUUCUCACACAAUACACCUUAUCCAUAUCCAAGAAGGCCUAAACAUUUCUCCUUCAAAAUCUCGAAACCUUCUCAUAUUCAGGUUACGGCCCACGAGCCUUAAAUCACAAAACAAUCUGGAACAGGAUGUUACAAUUCUCCCUCAUUUAAAUUAGAUUUCGCCCUCGAAAUUGAUCCUUUUCUUCGCAUAGAUCGAAAAAAAUAACCCGAGAUGCUCAACCAGAAAAUCUAAUUAACAUUCAACGAUCCUUCUCCCAAGACAUCCGAAACCAAAUAAAAAUUUCCGAAGCCGAAGAAGGACAGACCCCUUUUUCCGUGAAGAUACCUGCUCUGACUCUCCAAAACUGGAAACUAUAGUGGUCUAUCUCCCCGGCAUACCGCCCAUGCCGAAUAUCACCCUGAUAAUCGCUCAUCGAACAACAGACAUGGAUAAAAUACUCCCAACUCAGAGUACCAGGUCAGCUCCUGACCCAACGGUUGAACCUCCAAGAGCUACGCCUUUCACACCCAAUAAAAUGACUUUACAACCCUCCUGCUCAUAAUAACUAUCUCAGCUCAUUACGACACAUAAGUCAUAUAGUUUGCUUUACCCCAAGCCGGACACUACAACCCAUCAGAAAUCGAUCCACUCCGAUCUAAGAUAUCAGAUGAAGAUCAACACCCUUCUACAUGGAUCCCAUCUCUGAAUCCAGAAUCUCAUUUUCCCUACCCAACGCACCACCGGAACCAACUCAAACUUGGGAGUCAGGUCCGACACAGAAUUGGAACCACUCGUCCUAAUGAACCACUCAACUCAUGACUCAUGACUCGUAACUCAUGCGUACACCACUUCUUCUAUUCCCUUUGAUCGUGACAACCAUAAUUCACCCAGAAUAUAACAAUUAAUGACAAAAUGGAGACCCCAGUCUCGCCCCUGGUUCGACCAUCAGGCUCUCAAAAACUCAAAUAUUAGGGCUCCCCAAGCCCAAAAAUCUUCCGCGUCAUGAUCUGAAUAGAGAGUACUCCAUCACAACACUCUCUCGCUGACUAGUGAGUACUACGUCUCUCCGCAGCAUCACAACAACCUGUCACUGAUUAGUGAGUACUACUGCUCUCCGCAGCAUCACAACAAUCUCUCACUAAUUAGUGAGUACUACGCCCCCCGCAGCAUCACAACACCCUCUCACUGACUAGUGAGUACUACGGAUCCCUGCAGCAUCACAACAACCUUUCACUGACUAGUGAGUACUACGACUCCCCGCAGCAUCACAACAACCUCUCACUGACUAGUGAGUACUAUGGCUCCCUGCAGCAUCAAAACAACCUUUUCACUAACUCACUAAAACUGCAGCUCUCCGUAGUCUUACUGCACUUGCUCUUAUCAAUUCACGAUCUCAUCCUCAGGUCAACGCAACACGGCAAUCAUUAAAUCAUAUCCUGCGGACCAACCAAAGAUGGUGUACACACUCACCGAAUUUAUGCAUCACUAUUUCUGACGACAUCCAUCUUAACAAAACACCUUUCCUACUGCAGUCCACAUUCACAAAUAAUCUCGUUUGAUGCCAAUUGGCCGAAGGGAUCCUACCGGAACCGUAAAUAAUUGAUACCCUACUUGCCAUUUCAAACUAAAACUCAAAAUAAUCUGAGAUUUAGGACAUUAUACUCGAAUACCCCGGUGCACCAUCACCGCACCUCGCAAUGUCUCGACUCUACCACUGAUCUCAUACUCGUGGCAUCAUACUCAGAUACUGUAUUGCUUCCUUGAACUCUCGCAACCGAUCCUCCUUUCGUGCUACUUGCAACCCGGAAUACUCCAUUUCCAAUUUGAAACACGGAGAAAUCGCCAACGACUCAGAAUACGAAGUUGGCCCUUUCCAAAGAGCAUAAAAUAAUCCAUUCAUCGAACUAAAAUUUCUCAACUACCGAAGGAUUCUCACAAGCCAACCACUCCGAAUUCACCAUUACAGCCAAAAAAAAUUUCUUACCUACCACAAGGCCUCUGACCAACGACCACCUACCGUGCAGACACUCAUCCUUUCUUAAACACGUACAACAUGCAUUAACUCAUUCUGCAACUCACCUCGACCACCAAUAACCCUGGUCUCAUGAAUUCAUAGUGCAUGUCUCUAUAUCCAUCUCCCUAACCGUUCUUGAGCAAGUCUCUGAUCCUCUCAAUUAAAAUACCCGGUUCUCCCCCACUUAGGGUUCGAACCGUCACCAGUUGGCGCAUAUAUAAUCUAUUCCACAGACUUUUUCCACCGGAACAUAACACUUACUCUUGGAAGGUACUACUCAAUGCUCGAUGGUAUCCCUGAUAGAGACCCCGCAAAUCCAUGCAUCUCGAAUUUCAGAUGAUAUCCUCAUAAACUCCUCAUUAUGAUUGCCUCUAAUCAUACAGAAUCUCACUCCAUCCCAUUACCAGACAUCUCAACUGUCUAGUAGUAACCCUGACUCAUAAUCUGACAAUGAUGACCUAUCAUACCCCAUAUCCUCGACUCCUCAACCAAUGUUCCAUCACACAAGUUAUCAUAAGAGAGGAGUCCUCAUUACCACACUUGAUACCCAUCAUAGACAAUAAGAGCCACCACCCCAAUAUAGUCCUCUUGAUCGCCUAACGUUGUAGCUGGCACAUGCGCUACUAUACUCAAAUAGAGUGCACCCUAGUCCUUGACUAUCUCAGUCACCAUUGACAACCUGUUCAUGCUAUAUCAUUGCCUUACGGCAGACAUACUGCCCAAAAACUUCGGGGGAAGAUCACCAUCAAUGCUAAACCGCAAGGUUUACUCCCAAGCUCAAAACCGAAAUCUCAACACCUCUUAUGUUUCCCACAGGAAAUAGAAAUAGCACCACUCAGGUUACCGAAAGUGACAUCUCCCUUAUCGAUUGAUUGCCCAACUCAGGUCGCAAUCCUCCAUAAACACCAUCUCUACCCAUCCUUGAGUCUUGCAACUCAUCUGACAUACCUUGGAAUUAUCUCAACUUACCUCACAAGGGAUGCUUCGUUGGAACUCGUUCCACAUGACCCCUCUGACCUCAUACACUAUCGCACCCGAUCUCGGUAUAACCAAACACAACGGAAUAACUGGUAGAACCAGUAACACUAACCACCACAGUCAUGGUACUCGAACCACAUGGCCACCUCUCGAUUUGCUAUAAACCAUGAUGCCCGAACCAUGUUAUCUCUUUUGACUCCACUACAAAGCAUGGUACUCGAACCAUGGCUUCACCAAUCAAGCUGCUACUUAAUAUGGUACUCAAACCAUGACAUCACCUCUCAAUCUGCUACUAAUCAUGGUACUCGAACCAUGACAUUCUUCUCAAUCUGCCACCAAUCAUGGUACUCGAACAAUGACUUCACCUCCUAGCCUGCUACUUAGAAUCUCCAGAAUACUCCCUGCAUCAAGUAUUGGUCCUCUGCUUUCAGUAGUACAAACCCAUACUACCUGCCACAUCUACCCAUACUUUCUACACGGACCAUCCCAAAUUUCCUAAGUAGUUGCUCAACCUUCUCGUACGUCCAUCGCAUUACAUGUGUUCGCUCCCUAGCGAAAUGCUCUACCAUGUCAGUGCAUUCAUCUAGCCACAGUCACCCCCUAGGCUCUUCCUAGGUGCUCACACUUCUCCGCCAUUAGCUGCUGAGGAACUCCUAAUGAUGCCAACCGUCUACCUCCUGAAUAUCGUCAUAUUCACUUAGUAGUUGACUCCCAUCACUGAGAGUUCCAUAAAGCACGAAGCAAGCAUCAUUCGGGCAUUGAAUAAUCUCUGUAAUGUCCUAAAAUGGAUCUUUACCAAUGAUCAAGCAAUCACAUAAUCACAGAAACAAGAAUAUGAGUAGAAUAAGAAUUGAAACCAGCUUGCAUACGUUUAUUACUUGAAAAACGUCAGACACAACUUGUUAAACUUGGUCGUGAACUGUCUAGCAUCAACAACCAAUAAUGACCUACACAAACCCUAUAUAUAAUAGACAAUGACCAUAAACUGAACUUGGGCCAGAAACUGGGUUUACAGCCGUAAACUAGUUUACGACCGUAAACUCUCCAUUGACCGUGAACCCAACUUUGACCUACUAUUACACCAAAAAUGCUCAAAAGAACUAUUACAAUUAAAAGCCUAGACCAACCCAUUAAUUGAGCCCUUCAAUCUCCCCCUUGGUUUGGGGCUAGCUUGUAUUGAAUCUUUGUCGACCACUAGCACAUCUGACUUCCCCAUUGCUCCGUUCCACAUCCGCUUGUUUAUAAUAUCUGUAACCAUCAACGUAUACUCUUUAGCAGCCUGCUCAAUAAUUUCCUCGGAAACUUUAAUUUUAUGAAGACUCAGUUGAUGGAUAUCCCAUUUCCCGAAAUGGAACAGAUUUCUCCGGUCAUAUAGAUGAAUGCAUCCAUCUUUGAGCUUCAUAACCGCGGAGGCUGUUGUCUCGUCAAAUACCCAAUAAAGCAUGGAGCUUAAAGAUCCAUCUGGAUAGUUUUAAAGUACUGGGAUUUGCUUAGCCUGACUAGUAGCAGGCCACGUCACAACUUGAAGUGGACAACCAGUCUUGGGAUCAAUCACAUCAGGAUAAUGCUUGAUAAUAGACUCUGCAGUCUUCAUCACCUGAAAGCCUUUCUUCACUUGGUCUUCCAAGAAGAGCUUGAAGUGAGUUGCCUUUGGAUCUUGUGAGGGAUUUGCAAAAGGAAGUUGAGAUAACUCUGAAAGAUCCACCCUAGUCCAUGAAUGGAAGUCAUGACAGUCUUUGUACAAUUCAGUGUUGUCACUCUUUCUUCUCACAAUCCACAUAUUCAACGUGUCAUGAAAUCCCCAAGAAAUGAUUCCGGACCUAUCACCAUAUGUAUCUCUAAAACGUCUUUCUUUGAGAUCAGUAACAGUGAUUUUUGGUUGAUCUCCAGGUGCAUUUUGAUCCGAGCUCUUCUUAAACAAAAGUUUUCCCUUCUCGGCAGAUUUAGCAAGUCUAGCACAUUUAAGAGCAACGACGUAAGGAGCUUGAACAGGCUCUACCUCAAAACGAUCUACAAUGCAGGAUGAGUGAGCAGAUGGUGGUACAGCUGCAGGAUCUUGAGAUGGAAGAAACAUAUUCGAUUCAUCAAUAGAGGGCUUAAACUUGUCACCAAGUUCUUUUGUCAAUUUCUUCUUUAGGUCGAAAUAACAAGCUGUGAGGAGACCAAAGUGAGUCUGAAGAUUUGAGAUUUGCUUGGUCUUUAACACCUUAUCUUCUACAAGAUCAAACACUUGAGUCUUGAGCAUGAUAUUUUCACUCAUAAGAUCAACCACCUUGAUGUCAAGCUCAAUGUUCUUUUGAUUUAGCACAAAUAUUUCCUUUCGGAGCUCAACGAUAGAAGGAUUGUCUUCUCCUGUGAUACCUUCCCUAAAAGAAAUUCCUUUGGCUCUGGGGGGAAGGCAUUUUAUCUUGUUCAUGGGCCAAAUGCAAGGCUAGCCUUACGAAGGCGGCAUCAAGAUCUGGUCGUGAAGGAGAGAAUCUUGUUGGAGCAGAAGGUCCGCCUGCUUCAUACGAGGUGUUGGGCCUUCACUGAAAGGUUCUGUUGAGACAAUAGCAGGAGUUGUGGUUGGAGGAAUUUGGAGGUCUUGAAGUAAACCAGAGUCAAGAAUUCCCUGCCUGGGAUCACGUCUUCUUCUUUUCAGAGGAGGUUGAGAGGUUGGAGUUGUUGUAUGAUCACUCUGAAGUGGUUCUGUAGUACGAGAUACAAUGUCAAGGGAAGGAUUCCCUGACACCGUCACCAUAGGAGUUGUUGUUUCAACCACUUGUUUAGUAGUAGGAGGCGUUGAUUCGAGAACAUCAUUGGAGUCUCGUAUAUCCGUUGUUGGGUGAGCAACAUCAUCGAUAUUGUCAAGCAGCGAGUUGAGAUUUUCAGUUGACAAGUAAUCUUCAUUGCUUCCAAAAUUCACCGGAAUUUCAUCUCUAUCAAAACCAGUGAGAUCAAGAUCUUCAUAUAAGUCAGUUUCAGUUGCACUCUUUAAAGACCCUUCAUUAUAAUCACUUUGCACAGGAACUGAUGUCAGAUCAUGUUCCUUAGCCACAGCUGCAAUGGGAACUGCUGUAUCUUCUUCUACUUCGUCAUGUUCUGACACCGUGAUCACCUCAUCUUCUGAAAUCAUCUUUUCUGAAGAAGCGGGCUCAGAGGAUAUUUUAUCAGACAAUCCAUGAGACUCAGAGCUCUCGUUUAGUUCAACAAAUUUUCCAAACUUCACAAGCGGAUGCAAUCCUUCAAAGAUGAUUUUACCCUUGCGAUUUUGCUUUAUGAGUCCAACAGUAUGAGGACCUAGUGACUUCAUAUCUAGGGUUUCACCCUCCUUGACCAUCUCAGGGAAUUGAGUGUUGAUAAACAUUUGGAUGAACCUCAGAUACAUCAAGAAAGUGUCUCGGGUUGUUGCAUUGAUGUUCACUAGGAUUCAAACCAUAAUGUUCCAUGUAUAGUGACACACCCUACAUUUAGGGUUUUUGGACUCUGGAAGUACACUGGGCAAACACCAAGGAGCACCCGUGACCAUUUCUCUUAUAUGUUGGGCGUACCCACGCGCUUCCAUUUCACAUGCACGGCCUUUCAUGCCAACUUUUCUCCGUAAGGGACCAUAUAUGUCAAAAACCUCCAAGUGUCAUAUCUUCCUCACCUGAUGUCCGUUUUCGGCGAACUUUAUAUCCACGAAAAGGUAACGAGAAGCUCUACACUUCUAUCAACUUUAUAUAUCUUAAAGCCCACUCGAGCUCAGAUCCAAAAUUUAUGAAAAGCCCAAACCAACACUUUGUCGAUACCCUUGGGUCCUAAAGCACAAACUGAACCCUUUUCUCACACAAUACUCCCUAUCCAUAUCCAAGAAGACCAAAACAUUUCUCUUUCAAAAUCUCGAAACCUUCUCAUAUUCAGGUUACGGCCCAUGAGCCUUAAAUCACAAAACAAUCAGGAGCAGGAUGUUACAAGUUGGUUGCUUCUUAGCACUCCAAGCAACUAAAUUGCCACCAAGAAAGAUUGAAUAACCAUAUGUGGAGCGACGUGUUUCAAUGCAACGAGCCAAAUCGGCAUCAUAAUAAACAAAAUGGUGUUUGUAUGUGGCCAAAAAAAAGUAAGACCAAACGUAAUAGUGCCUUUGACAUGUCGCAAGAUGCGUUUAACAGCUUGAAAAUGAUCAUUAGUUGUAGAAUGAAGAAACUGCCUGGAUUGAUUAACAACAUAAGAAAGAUCAGGUUGUGUGAUGGUCAAAUAUUGAAGAGCUCCUACUAAAUAACGAUAAAGAGUGAUAUCUUUGAAAGGAUAUAUGUUUGACGUGAAGACUUCAUGAGUUGCAAGUGGAGUAGACACAGGUUUAGAAUCUAAGAGAUCACUGUGAGCAAGGAUGUUUGUGGCAUAUUUGGAUUGACUUAAAAAGAGCCCAUGUGUAGCUGACUUCUAGACCAAGAAAAUAGCUUAAAUCACCUAAGUCUUUAAUUGCAAAUUCUUGAUGAAGACGAGUGGUGAAGGCAGUGAGAACAUAUUCAUUGUUUCCAGUAAGAAUCAAGUCAUCCACAUACAUGAGUAAGUACAUGAUGCAUGCAUUCUGAGCAUAGAUAAACAAAGAUGGAUCAGCACGACUGCAAAGAAAUCCAUUUGAAUGUAGAAAUGUACUUAAACGAUGAAACCAAGAUCUGGGAGCUUGCUUUAGGCCAUAUAAGGCUUUAGAGAGUUUGCAAACAUGAUUGGGGAGGAUCAACAAAACCAUGUGGUUGCUCCAUAAAUACAGUUUCAUUUAGACAUCCAUGUAAGAAGGCGUUCUUGACAUCAAGUUGAUGUAAGCGCCAUUUAUGAAAUACUGAAAGAGUGAGAACUAUACGAACCAUGGAGGCUUUAACAACUGGACUAAAGGUGUGAGAAUAAUCGAUCCCGGGAAUUUGAGUGAGCCCUUGAGCAACUAAGCGAGCUUUGAGUCGUUCUACGGAUCCAUCUGAUUUGUAUUUAAUGCGGUACACCCAUUUAGAUCCAACAACAUUGGAAGCAGGUGGAGGUGGAACUAAAGUCCAUGUAUUAUUUUGCUUCAAGGCAUCCAUUUCUUCAUGCAUGGCAGCCAUCCAUGGAGGAUUUUUAGCUACUGAUUUAAAUCCUUUGGGUAGCAAGGAAGAAAGAAGUGCAACAUGUAAAGAAUGAGUGGUGAAGUAGGUAAAAUCAGGAAGAUAUCAUGCUUUACUAAUUCCUAAUUUAGACCAAGUGUGCAUAGGAUGAGAACUCGAUGAUCCAAGGGUAGGAGGCUCGUGGGUAAUUGGAGGUGAAAAAGGAGCAUCAGUUUGAACUUGGGCUGGUGUAGACACAACUAUGGUUGAGUCAAUAUCAGGUCUAUAUAAUCCACAAGGAGGAGAUGAAACAUACUCAGCGGGUUGUGGACUUGGCCGAGAAGUUGAUGAAUCAGACCUGGUCGCGUCAACAAGAGUUUCUUGCAGUAAAUCGGGAAUGCCAUCGUUAACACAGGCGUAUAAAGUCCAGCUUGAAAAAUGUUGAGAAUUUGUGGAACCCAUAAAUGGAAGAGAGGUUUCAUCAAACCUUUCGUGUCGAGUGAUGUAGAUUCUAGAGGAUGAUGGAUCAAGACACUUGAAUCCUUUAUAUUGUGAGUGAUAACCAAGAAAAAUGCAUGGAAUACUUCUUGGAGCGAGCUUGUUUGCUUAAUAAUCUCUUAGAUAAGGAUACACUCGACAUCCAAAAGUGUGAAAGUUUUCAUAAGAUGGCAUUCGAUUAUAGAGGAGCUGGAAUGGUGACUUUUGUGAGAGAACUUUGGUAGGCAAUCGAUUUUUGAAGAACAUUGUUGAAAUAAGAGCAUCUACCCAAUAAGAUGAAGGUGCGUGAGCAUGAAAUAACAUAGUAAAUCCUAUUUCAACAAUGUGAUGGUGCUUUUGUUCAGCACGUUCAUUUUGUUGAGGGGUGUAAGGACAAGAUAAUCAGUGAAAAGUGCCAUUUUCUUUAAGUAUUGUUCGAACUGUGUUGUUAACAAAUUCAGUGCCACCAUCACUUUGAAAAACUUUGAUUUUUCUAGAAAAUUGAGUUUACACAAGUUUGAUGAAGGCUGUUAAUACCGAGUAGAAACCUGAUUUGGUUUUCAAGGGGUAAAACCAUGUGAAACGUGAGUAAUCAUCAACGAAAACUACAUAAUAUAGAUAGCCAUUUGAGGAAACAGGUGUUGGUCCCCACAAGUCACUAUGAAUUAAAUCUAAAGGAAAUAGAGAGCGUUUAGAAUUUAAUUCAAAUGGUAAUUGGUGUCCCGUAGAAAGCUGACAAGGUUUGCAAAUGUUUGGUUUAGGUAAAACUGGAGUAACAUGUAAAACACCUAAUUUGUUCAAAAAAGAAAUAACAUCAAAGGAAACAUGUCCAAGGCGAUUAUGUCAUAAUUCAAAAGAAGCCUUCUUAGAAACACUAGAAACUGUAGCCAAAGCGGUUUGACAAUCACGAAGCACAUAGAGUCCCUCUUCACAUGUUCCUUGAGCUAUCACCUGCUUGUUUGCCCUGUCCUGAAUAUGAAAAAAAUGGUUGAGAGAGGAGAACAUCAACCGGAUGAUCCAUGGUGAGUUUACUAAUAGACAAGAGAUUUUUAGUGAGCUUGGGAAUAACCAAUACAUCACGUAAUUCGAGUUUAUUAGAAAGAUUAGAACGACCCAUAUGAGAAAUAGAGAGUUUAGCACCAUUACCAACAGUGACAUGCAUAGUACCCGAAUAAGGAGUCGAAGAAGAAACAAUUUCUGAUGAAGGUGUCAUAUGAGUUGUGGCACCGGACUCAACAUACCAGUCCGGGUUUCCUUGAGUAACAUGGCACUGUGAGUGGAAGGCUUGUGCAAGAUUGGCAUCCGAGUUUGAAGCAUUUGAAGCAUACGUAUGUAGAUUGGGACAUGAGGAUGCGUAGUGACCAUUUGUACGACACAGUUGACAAUGGGGGGACGCCUACCCCCACGGCCCCUACCACCAUUAGAAGAAGCACGAGAACCUCCUCCUCUUGAGUAGGAUUGCUGACGGCCUCGAGAUGUAGUAGAACAGGACUAUUGAGAGAUAAAAGCAACAAGAGGAGUGGAACCAAUUUACAUUAAAUAUCAAAGAGGACCUAAUUUACAUUAAAUGGAACCCAGAUUUCUUUGAAAAGUGGAAUGGUUAUAUAACAAUUUAAACUUUAAAGAUUUGCAGACAUGAUAACGUAAAGGUGAUGUUAAAGUAUUGUAUUGUAUAACUCUAUAAAACAUAAAUUCAUAAACAACAAAUUUUUUCCAUGCACAAUAAUUUAUGCAUUAAAGCAGUAUAUUGCACAACUCUAUAAAACAUAAAUUAUUGUCUAUAGAGAAAAAUUGUUGUCUACGAAUUACUUUCCUAUCGUAAAAUUCCAUGGAAUCGUAAUUAAAUAGACAUGCUUUUUAAGUGACAAGUUUUUACAUUUAAUUAUGGCUUUUGAGUUCAGUCCUUUUACGGAUAGUUUAGUCUCGAGUUCUGCAUUUAUUCUUGAUUAUUUUUUAUCUUCAAUAAAUAAAUAAAUAAAUAUAUAUAUAUAUAUAUGUGUGUGUGUGUGUGUGUGUNNNNNNNNCACUACAUGAAUAAUAAGCAUUAGCGGUGACACAUAACUUUCGCGUUAUGUGUCGCCGCUAAACGCGUCGCAACUAAUGCCUAUAGAUCGCGAUCCGCGUCGAAAUAUGAGGUGAAACGUUAUUAGUCGAUUUUGUCCCUUAUCCAAUGACCAAAAAUCGAUAACAUAGAUACGAAUAGCGGUGACACCAAUAACGGCGAUGGUGUCGCUGCUGAUACUCGAAAAUUUUGACUGCCAAAGUCCCCCCCCCAAAAGGUGUCGCCGAUAAUACUCACAAAUUUUGACUAUCAAAAUUUCUCCCAAAAGGUGUCACCAGUAAUACUCUAUACGUCGUCGCUAGUACUCUGUCUGUCGCCGCUAAAAGUUGUCGCCUCUAAUUCCCUUUGUAGAUAUAACCCCCUUCAGCUCAUUUUUCCCUCUUUUUUGAACUCUUUCUCUCUAUAACCACGCCGACAACAAGAUCUGCCGAAAUUUGUUGUUGUCUGCCGAAAAUUGGCCAGAAAAUUAGUCCUACUGCCGGAAUACCGCCACCAGUGCAUCAUCACGCUUCUCCGCCGGAUUACAGACCACCACAAACAAUAUAUAUAUUUAUUUUAAUUUUUGUAUGUAGAAUGUAUAUUUUGUAAAUGUAUGUGUGUUUGUAUGUAUAUCUUGUAUGUAUGUAUGUAUGUAUGUAUGUAUGUGUAUAUAUAUAUAUAUAUAUAUAUAUAUGUGUGUGUGUUUGUGUGCGCGCGCGCGCGAGCGCGUGCGUGCGUGCGUGUGCGUGUGUUAUAUAUAAAGUAUGUGUUUUUGGUUAUAUGUUUUUAUAAGGUUUUUUAUAUUUUUAUAAUCAUAUAAAGCUUGUUUUGUAUAUGGAAUGAACGUUGUCAGAAAACUAAAAUUGGUGGCGGCACUUUAGUGGCGACGGAUAGUAUUGGCGGUGACAGGGCAUUAGUGACGACGGUAAACAUUAGCGGCCACAAUUAAAGCAUUUUAGUGGCGACGGGUCACCGCUAAAGAUUACAUUCGGGAACUUUCCAUUGGAAGGUGAUUUUGUAUUAGGAUUCCGAACUUACAAAAUCAGAAAGGUAAACAUAUAUUUUAUUAGGAUUUUUGUGGUGCAUAAUUGCUAUAUAUCUUGAUUAUAGGGGUAGUAAUAUUCGACAAAUGCAAGUUUAUCUCAGUCAAAUUUGACGUUAUUUAUGAUAGUCCACGAAUAAAGCCAGAUGAUAUCAUCUAUAAAUAAUAUCGUCUUUAAUGAUAAGAAUACACAAUUAUAUUUAUUUCUCAUGAUAUUUACAGUUUGUGUGAACCAAAGACAUACACGUUGUACAUAGUAAAUGUCUAGUUAUUUUGACAUCUUUUUUUAAGUCAAUACCAAGUAAAGUUUCGAAUAGCUUUUAAUUAUGACAAUUUUAAUAACUACUAGAAUGGAAUAUCGACUUCACUUUCUCAAGAGAACCUCAGUAACUAAUUUAUCAAAGUUGAGAUAAGACGACCCCUCAAUAGCAACUGCUUCUUCCGCUUUCUUCUUCCAUUCUAAAGCCUUACAUUUCAUCAUUUUCCCUUUCUUCCCAUCCAUCAUCUCCCUCACCUGAGCUUCAACCUCCUCUCUCUUCACAUUGGAAUCAAUUUCCAUUCCAAUCCCCCACUCUACACAACUAUACCGACAAUUCGUUUGUUGCUCUGCAAAAAACGGCCAGCAAAUCACUGGAACACCACUGCUAAUACUCUCAAUAGUCGAGUUCCAUCCACUGUGUGUUAGGAAUGCCCCAAUUGCUGGAUGCUUCAAAACCUUCAUUAUAUAUAGAAUUGAACUAUUUAAUGACUGAUUUAAAUUUAUGCGUGAUAUGGUAAGCAUAUUUCCAUCAAGGCUAAAGCUUGAACACCAUCUUAAAUGAUAUGUUUCUUAUGUAUUUAAAUAUUUUGUAUAUAGUUUUGGUUUUAUUACUCAGUGAUUAGAAAGAAUUAAUAUCACCUGUUCUUGAGGACACCAACUAGUCACCAUGCCUCUCCCUUUUGUCUCGUCAACAAACUCUGGUGGCAUCAUGGCCUCAUUGCCUCCAACAAUGUCGGGUCUUGUAAUCCACAAGAAAUCUUUCUUGCUAUUCGCCAGUCCCCACCCAAACUCGAUGAGUUGUUCUUUUGUCAUGACUGUAAUGCUUCCAAAGUUAACGUAAACAACUGAACCAGGGUCUUUUGUGUCAAGCCAACUGAUGCAACUCUCAUCUUCCUUCCAGAGGUUGGAGCCAAUGUGUUUGACCUGUUCAUUUUCAAUAUGUUGUUGCAUCAAGUGUAGAGGGCCUAUGGUGAAGGUUCUAGGAUUUAAG